ACGCGUUUCCUUGGACGCACAUCGUUUCUACUACACUAGCGUGUUCCUCGUUCUUCCUCCUCAUCUCCUCUAUAUAUUGCUUUCUUCCGAAACUGUUGGCACAGACAUGGAUUUGAGAGCUCCGUUCGUACCUCAAGCCGCCGGAGAGGAGAAGAAAAGCAGCGCGGCGGCGACGAUGCUUCUGGCUCCGGGUGCAAAAGUGAGUCAGCCUAUCGAUCCUUCCGCUUGGAACGACGAGGAGAGGAUGAAGAAGGAGAUAGUGGCUUGGGCGAAGGCGGUGGCCUCCAUGGCGAUCGGUUCGCUGCAGUGCUCACAGCUGGAGGAUCUUUCGACGGCGUAAUCCGGUCGUCUGGCUCGUAUGAACAUGUCGUCCUUUUUCUUGUGUGCCACUGCAGAGCUCUCCCACUGUUACCAGUUUUUUCCUUGCAGGGGUGCAUUAUUAUUCUUGUAUUGGGUAUAUUUUUACUUGAGAAGCACAUUACUGUAUUUUUUUUCUCCUUAUCCAAAAAUUAAUAAUUUGGAAUAAGUAUUUUUAACAUAUUUUUUUCUUAAAAAUAUCUUAUUAUAAUGAUGAUCAUAAUGGAAGAAGGGCUAAAAUUGGCCGAGGAAUACUGAGUGCCUUCUUAUUAUUCUAGGGUUUAUCACGACAACUGGUUUUGUGUGGAUUUAUGGGGUUUUAUUUUUGUAUUUACUUAAAUCAGGUGAUGGAUGAGAGAGACAAGAAGAUCCAAGAAUACUUAUCUUGAUUUGACAUGAGAUCUUCCCGGUUGGAGACAUUGUCGUUGACCUAAACUCCAAAUCCAACUCGACAUGACAAAUGACAACCAAAAGGAUAAUUAUUUAUGCAAGCAAGCCAAAUUACGCCUGUCAAGGUCUAUUUUAAGUUCAAAUGGAAUAAUUAUCCAUUGAUUUGAUGGUCUUCAGUCAUCAUCAUCUUAAGUUAAUAAUUAUAGAUCCAAUCUUUUAUCAUUGGAAGCUUUUAAGUAGAUCAAUCCCCUCCUCAGACGUAUACUAACACAAGUGACUCUUUUGUUUAUUUAAAAUAAUAAUUAAAAAUUGAUUUAGUGCAUUUAUUUAUUUGGUAAUAGCACAUGAGUGUUGAUAUUGCAAGUACAUAAACAUGACUACAACAUCGAGAGAUUCUUUUAUCUCGAUCAAGCCAACAUAUAAUUAAUCUGUGAUUAUUCUUCGAUCAUAAGAACAACAAAAGUCAUAAUGAAGAUUAGAGAACAAUGCAACUACCUUAUAGAAUAUAAAGUGCAUGGACAUAGAAUAUGCUUAAAAACAUAUGAUAAAUGACUUUCUUAUCAACUCCAUCUUAUUAAGGUUGCACCAAAAAUAUAAAAAGAGAAAUGUUGUACAACUAAUUAUUAUAAGUAAAAUUAGAUAGGAAAAGGUAGACCUUAAACAUCAUAUAUACAGAUACUCUACCCACACGCUUGUUCUUUGCAUCUUGUACUGUUUUACAAGCUUUCAGAGUGGAAGUGAUGCCCUACGACUUCCAGAGCCUUGUAAUGCAUAAGUUUAGCUCAGGUCAAGAUGAAAGAUUCUGGAGAAUGCACCAAAAUGCGUUCUGUCUCCUUGUCGUUGCCCGGAGAUGACGAAGCAUCUGAAAAUUGAAGUAAAACACAAUGUUUGCCACAUCAACAAGAACAAAUCGAUGAAUAAUAUAAAAUUUGCAUCUUCUCUUUUUCUAAGCUUCAAAAGAAUUAAGUCUUUGUAAUCUUCCACAUUAGAUCAUGUGCCUACGGCAAGCUUUUACUUUGAUGCCUUCUUCGACCAUGUCACAAACAAGUUAAUCAAGCAAAUAUGUACCUAGGUCUGUCAUCUCUAUAGGCAACCUGUUUGAUCGCUAAAAUGGACUGCCCACCAAAAACCAGAUACAAGAGGGUUGGUAUGUGAUCACCUAAAUUACAAGAGGAACAGUUGGGAGGAUUCGUCUGCUCACCAUCCCUACACAAGUCUCUGUGUCAAACAGGCAGGUUAGGAUACGAAUUUUUAUUUUCAAUACCACCAAAUGCACGAAUGCUUACACAGUUGAUGCUACUGAACUACAACAAGCUUACCCCAAGUCUCCUCGCCCUAAGGUUUACAACCUGAUAUUUUUUACUCCAAUUUACACGAUAGAUAAUUAAUAAUGAUACUUUAUCAGAACAAAUCAAAUUAAGAGACUUUGCAUAAAUUUCAAUUAUUUUAUUUUUCCCAAAUUUGCUGCCUAUUGACAGCUUUCUCCAGCUAAAGCACCACAGCAUUAAAAAGAAUAUAAAACACAUAGAAGGCAAUGUAAAUUAAUAUCAAGUAUUUGAAUGGUUAUAGAACUUCUUAUACCUUAAAUAUCAAUAAUGCCUAUUGGGUGGAGUAGCUUCUUUCAUGAACCAUUAAAGGAGUCACUUGAGGAACCAAGUACUUUCUGCUUUGGGACCCGAACAAGCCUAAUGGUCUCUGCUGCAGUGAAAAUCUCAUCUCUCUCUAUUUGUUUUAACUCAACUAGUACAGGCUUGACCCUUCUCCAGUAGUCCACUAUCUCAGAAUCAGAUAAUAUAAUAGUUAAAGAUAUUAAGCUGGACAGGAAGUUGCAAUACCAGUCUUUAAUUUCCUUUCUAUAUCAGAAAGGAAAGAACACCCAUUUCAUUUUCUUACACUUGCUACAUAAACCUCUCUUACACAUCAAUACUCUAUAGCACAAGAAACUGAUGUAAGUCACAGGGAAAGGACUGGCCACAGAUAAUCUGUGAGCCAAAAGAUGCCCUAUAUUAAAUAAAAUAUAAGAAUCUUUUUUGCCGUUUGCAUAUUACAACAUGCAAAAUAAGGUUAAUUCAAAGAAGAAAUCAUAUAUUCAUAGUGGUAGAUGGUAAGUAAUGACAAUAGAUACCAAGUUUUGCAAAUUUAUGUAAGAAAGGUAAGAAAACAGAAAUAUUAACAGAAGAAAGCAAGAAAUAAUAUAGAUAUGAGAAACAUAAAGGUUCAGAGCAAAAAGGACAAAAGGCAAAGACAAUUUAUUUGCACCAGAAAACAGAAACUGUACAGACAGACUUGUGAGUCAUUUUUGAGAAUCUAUUGUUAGAAAAGUGAAAGACAUAAAAAGAGAGAUGGCCCAGAGUUACGAAUGAAUGGACGUAGAAAUAAGACCAGUGCUCGUGACUGUACAAGACCCAAUUUGAACUUCGACCCAGUUCAAUCCAACUAAGAUCCAGACAACUACAGGAAAUGACUUCAAGGACUUGCAGGAUCUUGAGGUACAUAUUUCCAGUCCAUAGAUAAGGACUAAUGACAGAUGCAACUUCACAAAAAGUCCUAUACGCAUGCAGAAUGGAAGACUAGGAAUUACUUAUUGCCACAACUAAAAAAAAAAAGUCUAACCUGCAAAAGCCUGGCCAAACCCUGGAGGAAAAUCCUCUACUGCAUCAGAAUUUUCACUUCAGCCCAAGAGGUAAUCCAUCUGCCUAUGUUCUGGAUAUUUUCACUACUACAUGGUGUAAUACCCUAUUAAAAAGAUCUGGAUAUUUUUCGCUUUAACAACCAAUACCACUCUACAAAAAACACAACUGGCUACUAAAUAUGAGAUAUAGUUGGAUCCAUCCAUCCUAUAAAGUGAAGUACAUCCAAUUUUUCUAUUGCCUUGAAAUUCCCAAUUUUCUUGGUAUAUUUUUCAUAUAUAUAGUUUGCUUUCAUUUCUAUUAUUCUCAGUCACUACUGCACAUAAUAUGUCAUUGUUAGUUUUGCCAUUCCUGUCAUUGUUGAAAAUCAUUAUCUAUCAUUUCAUCAGUUACCUUAUCAUUUCUUUGGAUAAAAGGCACCAUCCUUUUUUGAGCUGUCGUAUGCUUCCCCAUGACCUUAAACCUUUAAACAAUAAAUUUGAACCUUAUAGUAUUACCUAUUAUUGAAUCUCCCUUCAGAUGAAACAAAGGCAAGCAUUCAUCUAGAUGAUUUGAUAGCAAUCAAUAGUCAAUGUUAAAAAACAACAAAGGCAAAGCCAUCCAUGAAAAUAAACCUAAUGAAAUUUUGACAGAAUUCAGUGCAAUCAUCCAAGUGAUUAUUUAAUUAAUGAUCUUUAUCCUUCUACAGAGAAAGUGAAAAAAGUUCAAGAUAUGCUCUAAAAGAAAAGAAAGAAAUUAUAAAGAGCAUACAUCAUGUCUAACAUAAAUAUCAUACAAGCUAUUAUACUAGCUCAAUAACUGACAUAAAGGAAGCUUUCUUAACGUGGCAAAAAAUUGUUAAAUACAAGUUAUUUGUAGUAAGGGCCAUUUUGGGGUAUCAGAUUUUUUCACUCAUCCGGCGAACAAUAAAUAUCAUUUGUGACGAUCUAAUUAUACCUAUCAGCAACCGAAGUAGGGGAACUCUUUGUAUUCCCAAAAUGCUCAAGUCCAAUUCAUCAAGUGACGCUUAUAAGAAACUGCCCAUUCUCCUAUAGUCUCUGAUAUAGGGCAAUUUCUGAUAUCAUACAUCCAAUCCAACAAAUAUAUCUUCCGGAACGAAUAUCACAUUUCUUUGUGAUUCAUAUUUUAGAGAUAAAAUUUUUAGAAUCAACAAGAAGCAAUAAUGUAGCAAAAACAAUGUAAAUAAAACAAAGGCAAGGAACAAGGAAGUUAAGCAACCAGGAAGAACUAUAGAAGAUGCAAAUAUAAAGAUGAAGACACACCUUUGAUGUAUUUCACACAGAGAUGCUAGCGCAUCCUUCCACUUCGACGCUCAAUCUCAUCAAAAUCCUCCAUUAUGCCCUUAAAAAAUUCAGAAUCAAAACCCUCGCCAUCCUUCUCUGCUCCUCCAAUUCCUUCCUCUUCUUCUUCGUCUACUUCCAAAAUCACACCUUUCUUCUUCACUUCCUCCUCCGCACCAACUUCAACCGCUGGCAUGUGCCCCUCGAACAGAGUGAUAUGCCCAAAAAGCUUAUCCUUCCUCGAGAAGCUUGUCCCACACGAGCACCGCCACCGGGUCAUUCCGCAAUGCUUGAGGUGGCUCCUAAGGUCAGCCACCACCGAGAAGUUCUUCUUAUUGCACCGGUGGCAAGAAUACAUCUUGGGGCAGUGGCUCCUCUUGAAGUGGUUCUUCACGCACGCCACCGACUUGAGUGGUCGGAACUUCUUGUGCGCCCGGUUCCUGUUGCACCCGGGAUACGGGCAAGAGAACCUAACUCUUCUCCCGGGUACCGCCUCCCCGCCAUCCGACGGGCGAACUUCCCGGUCCGGCUUCGAGAGGGCUUCCAGGGUCUUGAACCGGUCGCCGUGAGCUCUCAUGUGCAUCCGGAGGUUCGCGUCACGCUUGAAACCCUUGCCGCAGAUCUCGCAGAGGUGGACGUGUUCCGCCAGAAGCUCUGCAGCAUCGAUCUCCACUAUGUCGUCCUCCUCCCCGAUCGCCGCCGCCGGAUCCGAGGUCGGCGGCUCGGAUCCGUUUCCGAAUUGGAUGGACGGCGGACUACCGGAUCUGGUCUCGGCGAAGCGAGGGGUCACUGCAUCUCGAGAGGUGGGACCACCAGCGGCAGCGAAGGAGGGGGAGGGAUUAAGCGGUUGGGAGGAGGCGAGGAGAGCGGCGCCGUUGAGGAUGAUCCCCUGGACGGCCGAGGCGAUAUGGGAGGAGACCAUCUGUAGCUGGUCAUCGCCGAUGACGGUGCGACUGUCUAUGGCAUCAGAGAGGAAGCGGCGGAGGGAGUCCAUCUUCUGGCCGAGGGCGGAGAGGUUGAGGAGGGGUAGGAAGGGGUCGUGGCUCGCCAAGGGCGCGCCCCCGGGGUCACCGCCGCCACCGCCGAGGGGCAAGAACGGCUCCUGGCCAGGGUUCCGACCGCCGGAGCCAUUCAUCUUGAGAGGGGCGGACGGUAGUGGUGGAGAGGAAAAGGGCCUCAGCUUUGUUGACGGGGAAGGAGUUCCAUGUCGUGUCGACCUUUGUAGUCGCUAAAAGCGGAUUAGCGGAAAUGUGUCUUACGGUCUUUAGUCGACAAACGUGCGGAGCCCACGUUGAAGCCACACCUUUAUGGCAGGUAGCUGAAUGGGUAGACUGUAGAAAGGUCCUUAAGAAGCUUCUUUUAGAAAAAGCUCAGCUAACCUGUGUUGGUCGAGCCACCAAAAAUACCAAUGGCUGAUUCCAAUGGGUCAAGGAGUGGGUCCCCUUGGCAUUAAACAACCUAUGGGAAUGAGCUGCUUCCGUAAUAUUGCAAACUCCACAAGACUAGGGAUAUUAAUUGAUUAGCAUAAUGAUAUUGAAAUUUAAAUUAAAAUUAAAAUUUUAAAACUAUAAAUUUAGUGAUAAUCAUGAAUAAUAGAGGAUAAUAUUUGAAUGGCUCCAUAUUAAUAUUUGAAUGUUCAACAAAAUAUUAUUAGAAAAAUUAAAACAAUUCGUAUUAAUAUUUUCGGAUGCACUAAAAAUAUCGUAUGAACGUUGUUUUAAGAAAAUAUUGUCAUCAGUCAUUGUGAUUCCUUCCUAAGAUUAUUUUCUCGUUAUCAAUCUCUUCUUAUUAUUGUGUGUCUCUUAUUCAAGUAAAAUUAUUCUAAUUAUCGUGCUAUAUGUGUUUUAUAGCAUUCUAUAUAUGAUAUUAUUUUUAUCCUAUUUUAUGUGAUUAAAUUUUUUUCUAUUUGUUAAAGAUUUUUUAUUUAUUCACUAAUUUUGAUAUUUUAGAUUUUAACUACAUAAAAUUUUAAAUUAUUUAUAUGUUUCAAAAUAUUUUUAGUCGACAUAACAGUUCAACCAAUGAUGGAAGGCUUAGCUGAAUCACUUGUGAGUAAUAUCAAUAACUAUAUUUGCUCAUCCACCUCAAAGAACACAAACAUCUCCACAAACCAGUAAACUGACAGUUUGUUUGAUAGGAUGUCAUAAAUAACAUUUCUGUCUCGAAACAUUGUGAUACAAAUCUUGAAAUGAAUUUAUACGAAAGUAACAUCACAAGAACACAGCCUAUACAAGAUUAAUGGUGAAGCUCACCGUUACACUACGGUACAUGUACCACAAAUAGUAGAAGAUUGAAAUUAACUAGUUAUUUUGACUCAAAAACACCCUUAAUUCGCAUGCGAAGGGAAAAGAGUCAAAGGAGACGAAACACAGACUCCUAAUAAUAGCAAAUUAUCAUCAGUCAUGCUUCCAGUUUGACUGCUGCUUCAUGUUCAGAUGGCAGACCUCCUAUUUGUCUACACACAACUAUAUGUAGUGGAAGAAUCGCACUCUGUAUUCAUAGACGUCCAAAAAGCCAAAAAAACAAAGAGUGCAGGAAAAAGUUGUACCUUAAGCUCCUGCCACCCACGUACAUUUCUAUUUUAUUCUUGGAACAAACGGACAGUGCUUUUCCACCAUCCACUGUACAUUGCAUCCACCCAAACCAUCACAUCCUCUCACUAGCUCGCUCACCUCACAAAAUCCCAAGAGCUUCCGAUUGUGUUACAUGGAGUAAAAAUUGGAAAGAGCUAAUACAGGUAGAAAGGCCAGAAGGAAAUGUAAGCAAAGGGUUUUUUUUAGCUCUUUCCACCAAGUCUCUCGUAGAACAAGAUGUACCCAUGAUCUGUGUUGCCUGAAAACUCCUGAGAGGAACCAAAGAAUGUCUGCACAGUUGAUUCAUCGAUCAUCUCCACAUUUUCGUCAUCAAAUAACAGCCAGUGGUUGUGGCUUUUGACAAGGCUAACGUAGUGACCAUGGUUGGGACCGCUCCCCACGUGGACCACAACUGCAAAGAGAGAGUACUCGGAGUCCGCAUCUUCGACCGUGUUAGUAAGUUUCAGCUCCAUGGGAAACACCACACGGUACGAUAAUUUCUUGUACCGACCAAGCUGCUCAAUGUAUUUGAACCGUUUGAGGUGGAUCACAAGAAUAUGUGGCGGCUUCUUGAUCUUCAUUCUCUUCUGUGCUUCCUGCAAACUGCAGAGUGAAACAGAACUCCAUGCUUCAGAAACAGUUAGUUAGCAAUGGAUGAUCCAACACAAAAGUGGCAAGAAAGAUUUUUCAAGGGAAACACAAUAUGCUAACGCUUUAUUCAACACUUUAUAUAAUUGAAUCACCUUCCCAUGACCAUAGCACUUACUAUUAAUCUAGACCUAUAUCGUUCUCCAAGUUGUUGAACAAGCAUUUAGAUAAUUGCACUCGUGAAGUAAAGUUCAAGCAUUCUAGUUAAAAGCUAAAACUUUCAGAAACGAUGCAACUAGCUAAAGCAUGUGAGUCUGAAUGCACAUGGUUAUAUGAAUCUCACAAGCAACGACAAAAAAGAUUUUACUAGGCAACAAGAUUAUGAACCACAACAAAGAAACCAGUGAAGCACCUGCAGCACUUAUCACAGAAGAACUUGUCCUCAGCAUUUAAGGUCUCUGUUGAACUGAAGUUUUUGAGGCAGCUUGUUAUAGAACUGUUCUGCUCAAUAUCAAGGCUCAAGUCAAGAAAUGUUUCAUCCCUUGCAGUAACAGUUUCACAACGUAAGCAUCUUGUUUCAUUGGUCAGUAUGCCCUGUCGCAAGAAAUGUAAGCUUACGUUGGUAUCAAGAAGCAUCACUUAUUUCGUGCUAUACAUGUCAUAUUGAACAGAAGAUGCACAACAAAUUAGGGUACUCGAUUCACCUGAAAGUUCUUGUGAACCCAUGUAACAAGUGGCUCCUUUUGCACACCAUUAGCCACAGGAUGGCUUGGUCCAUUGGCAAUCUUUUUAGAUGGUGACAAGGUUUCUGGGGAACUUUUUGCAGCAUCAGACUCUUUUUCCAGAAUAUCAACAAGCUCAUUCAGCAAGAAAUUCAAAAACUCAUGAGCAUCCUAGAGAAUCCAAAGAAAACAAACAAGAUUAGCUAGCAAAAUCACAAAAUUAGAAGAUGUAGAAAUAAGAGCUACAUGGAUGAUGAGAUACAACUUCAACAAAGUAUUUUACCUACAAAUGCCUUUCAGAUGAUAAAAUUUUUCAUCCACAGACUGAAAGAAAUCCCACAGACAAAAGUAACAGAAAAAAGAGGUCUGUCUCGACAAACUGAUUAAACAACAGAAACAUUUUGCAAAAUAACUAGGCUAAAGGAUGUAUAAUCAAAUUGCUGCGGUUCAUAGACUAUUCGUAAGCCUGAUUGGAGAAAUUUGAUGAGAAGAAAAACAAAUGGACAAUGAUCAACAAAUCUGCUUGACAACUGCAGUUUACUUUAAAUUUUGAAAUUCAUUUCAAAUGAAAUUGUUUUGACAAAGUAGAAGAUAGACCAGAGCAAAACAUUCAAUUUCGGUACUGGACCUGUGCCGGUCCAUGGCCAGACUGAUAUGGGUCCAGUCCAUUCCUGCGUACCAUAUGGCGAAAUAUGUAGGAACAUACCAUCGUACAGAGAAGGGGGAGGAGGAAGAGAGGAGGCAGCAGAGAAUGGUGCGGUAGAGACGAGGGGACAAGACGGAGAAAGAGAGGAGAUGGCAGUGGCAAUGGAAAGGAGGGGAAGCAACAGAGAUGAAGCUGUGGUGGUGUAAGAGGAUGAGGAGAGGAUAGUACUGAUCGGCAGAUGCAAGUGACGUCAUUAGCAUGUGGAGGUGGACGUGGGUGGCAGCAGAUGCAGGCUACAAUGGACACAGAGCGAAUAAUGCCAGACGAAUGGGAUUAGGUAUUAGGGUUUUUAGUUUAUAUUUGGGCCUGGACUGGGGAAUAUGCCCUGAAUCGCAUGUGGCCUGCUCGAAAUUGCCGUCCGCAUGCCGGUUCACACUCGGAGCAGUCAUUACUGGUUGGUGCACAUCGAACUGGGUGAAAUUGGUCUCGAGUGAAAAAUGUUCAUGCUGAGGUAGUUGAUUGGAUGUAUAGACCUAAUGCAACUAUGAUGUCCACAUAUUGCCUCUAUUAUUAACAAAUUUAUCAAGUUAACUUAAUUACCUGGUGCAUAUAACUACGGAAAUACUCAUUCUGUUUCUUCACUCUCUGCACAAAGCGUUUUGGAGCAAUAACACCAGUUUUUUUCUUUUGGGAGCUAAUCUGCACAAAAUACCAACCAAGAUAUAAGUACAACCAAUAUCAUAUGCAAGACUUGCACUAAUACAUACAUGAUAAAUUAUAGCAAUAAGACUCUCACAGUGACCAAAAUUAGGCUAUUCAAUAAUGAGGCAGAUAUUAUUUGUUUGGCAACAAACAUUAUCAUCACGAUCUACAUGCAAAUUUCAUUUGGCAAGGAAAUGGUCAAGUGGCAUAGGAACCAUUUGAACUUCAGAACAAGUUGUGAAGCUGAAACCUCCAUAUACUAGUAUCUGAUCCAACACAUUCCAAGAUCAGGCAAAAAGGUUUUCCUUAGGAUCCAAAAGAGCACUUCAUAAGACCAUCUUUUUCGGUCAACCUUUAUGAUCAAACACCUGCAAAAAUUUUCCUAUACUUGAAAGCAGUUUACGAUACUUAACAUGGCAACAACUCUGUCCAUUUAACCAAAUUUCUAUCUCAAACAUGCUUUGGAUUUACCCUCAAUGUUCAUAAAAUGGCCAUCAAGAAGAAAAUUUCCAAUUGGCAGGUGAGAACAAUGGCAACAAAAUCUAUGGGAAUAAUCUAGAAGAGUGAAAUUCUUUCAAAAUUACAGAAGAAUAAAGAAUCAUACUGUUCAAACUUAAUUCUAUGUCUUAUCUAUGUUCUCAUGGCAGAUCUCCUAUCUACUGGGUCAAUGCUCCAACUAAAACAUUAGUUUCAACACUCUUUAAUAAACAUUAAAAAGCUCCAGUAUAUAUGCUGAACUCAUAGAUCUCAUAUGCUUUCAGGUUUAUUCGACUACUUGAUAAAUAUCAGAGGCAAAAGACCAAAUAGAUAUUAAAAUUUGAUACCUCAUAAGUUCAUAAAGUUAUUUUGAACACCUUUAGUAAGGUACAUUACUCUAACUUCAUAUGGAACUACAUUGAAACCAAAGUAAGUUAGACUUAUAUGAAGUGAAGAUAGACAGUAUAGUCAACCAGAGUAAAGACAAAAGCCUACAAUAGCAAAUAGUAAAUGAUUUAUCUAUAAAAUCCUGUCUGCAGAGAAAUGGGAGAACUCACACAUUUUGUAGUAUAGUAUGAUAAAAUGAAUUUCAAUAACUACAAGUAGAUCAGCAUAGUUGUGCUAUUCAACUAAAAUAUUAGCCUUCAUAAAACUAAUAGUAACAAAAGGAUGAUCCAAUCAAGGUUUGUUAAACUCGUGAUUUGGGCAAUAGCAUGGAGCGACCUUACAGCCCAGAUCUUACUUCUCACACCAUCUUGUGGUAUAGUAUGAUAAAAUAAUUUUAAAUCAUUUAAUCCCUUUUAUUGUUUCAUUCUUUCCUCUUUUUUCCAAAUCUCUUCUUCAUAAUCCUGUAGUGCAUGUUUAUCUUGUGCUCUUAUUGUAGCCAUUGUAAAAGUUUAUCUUUCCCUUGUUGCAUGAGAUGACCAAUGUAAAAGUUUAUUGUAGUGUCCUUUCGAAUACAUAUGCAGUCAUUCUAGUAUCUGAACUCAUACAUGAUUCAUUGUGACUCCUUAUGAAGAAAAAAAAGGAUAUUAAAUCUAUCUAAAUGUCUCUUUGUGAAUUACAUACUGUGUAAACAACUGAACUGCAUCCUUUAUUAUUUAUUUCUUUUUUAAUUAAAAAUAUCUUUCAAUUACUUUCAAUUGUUUUGUCAAAAUGUCUAAGAGAAAAAAUAUUAAAAUCAAUCAGAUAUUGGAUAGGAGUAUGAUAUAAAAUUUAAAAACAAUCUGAGGAAAAUAAAAUGCAAGUUUUGACGAAUGAUGGUAUCCAUAGUUUUAAAAAUAAUCCAGCAUGUAAAGCAUAUAAGAGUGUCCAAUGAUGUCAGAAAACAAAUAAUACGACUGUUGGAAAACUUAUGACACAAAAAAGAAAAAAAUCAUGAAAUUGAGGAGGAUAAAGGAUAAGAUAAAAUUAUUUCAAAACGAAAAGAAAAGAAUAUUAUGGACAAAAAAAUGGCUAGUUCUCAUCUGAACAACACUCAAACAAAUAUUACUCAAUUGUUUAAGAGAUAUUUGAUAGAUGAGACAUGUCAACAUAACCUUCGCUAGUUCUCAUCUGAAUUAUUUUCAAAUGGUAUACUAUAUUCCUAUCCCAUAUCUGAUUGAUUUUUAUUUGUAUUUUUUCUCUUAAAACCAAACAUUUUGACAAAGCAAUCAAAGAUAAGGGACAUACAACUUAAGAUUUUUUUUGAUAUAAGAAAUCUAAUAAUUAAUAAUUAAUAAUUAAUUGUAAAGUAAGCAGUUUUCAUUCAAACAAUAUGCAGUUCAGAAAAAGAUUUUAAGAAGAUAUAAUUUUGUUUAUAAAAAUACACUUGGAUUGCUAACAAUGAAUCAUGAGCUGAGGUACAAGAAAGACCACAAGAUAAGUACAUGAAAGAGCACUACAGUAGACUUUUAAAUUGAUCAUCUCAUGCAACAAAGGAAAAGAUAAACAUGCCACUAGAGCACUAUAUUAAACUUUACGUUGGCUAUCUAAUGAAACAAAGGGAAGAACAAAAUAGUAGAAGGGAAAAGAGGAGACAUGGGAGGAAGGCGAACGACUAUACAUGAGAGGAGAUGGGAGGAGAAGGGAGGAGAAGAAAGGAGAGAAGGGAAGAAAGGGAAGGAGAGCGGAGGGAGAGGAGAGAUGAAAACAAUACCUAUGGACUGUGGGAGAGGAAGUGAUGGACAGCGGCACCUCAAACAGCCAACAAGGUUGGCAGCAGCACGAGACCCUCUUGUGGCUAACAGCAACAACGACCAAUUAGGGUCUUGUCUCAUCACUCAUAUGUCACCCACAGCCUCGCACAUCACCUCAUCUUUGAGCAUUUGUUUUUUACUUUUAUAUAAAGCCCAUCGAGUUGAAUCGAUAAACUCAAUUCAACUCAUCCAAGUUGAUCGAUCUUUCCAAGUCAACUUGUGAGUUGGGCUGAUUCCAACACUCUAAAAUUUCAGCAACUGGCCAGACUCGACAUGCCUGACAUGGGCUGCUGUAAGAUCAAACGAUUUUGUGGCCCAGAUCAAGAUCACAAGGUUCACAACCUUGCCAGGUCACCUAAAUAACAUAGGAACAACCUUAUCUUGGAACCUAGAUUUGCCUCCAUAAAACUAAUGGUUGUGUUGAAAAAGAAUGGAUGUAUGACAUGAUUAAUUUUAAUAUCAAGAAAAAGCAGAUUUUACAAGUUAUAAGUUCAAUGUUUAAACAUCUAAUGGAUAUUACUUUACACAUAUAACACACAUAUUAUGCUAGGAAAAGCAAAAACUUAUUAACAAAUUUAGUAAAAAAAAUUGAAGACAAGAAUAUUGUUAGCCUGUGAAACUCUCAUCAAAGAAUACUGUAAUUUUGGCAUGAUAUUCAUGGCUUGUUGAUAAAAAUAUUGUUUACCUGAGUAAAUAGGUCUGCCAAACAUGUUAGAAGGUUUUCUUCAACAUCGCCCAGAUUCUUGUUAUUUGCAUAAUAGUCCAGUAACUGCUCCCGGAAAGGAAUACAAAAAUAUAGAGCCUGCAUAUGGGAUAAUUAAGAAGCAAAAAAUAAAUUAUAGUUAAAACAAAAAGAACAAAAAUAAUACAUAUUUAAUUUAGGCACUGCAUAAAACAAAACAAACAUUUUCAUCCAACAAAGUUCAUUUCAGUAAAACUCAUGCCCAAAUUCUUCAAACCAAAUGUAAAGCAUGAUGUGAUGAUGGUAAAAAUAGCUAUGCUAGAAGUGAACUUUGACAAAAUUUAGAAGGAAAUGUUGAAGGGAGAAAAUUCUUUACCAAAUAAAACAUUUAUCUUUUAAAGUAACAUAUCAAUCUCUUAUCUUUUAAAGUAACAUAUCAAUCUUCUUUUAUGUUAAGCUGAAAUGACCACUUUGUAUUAAUGUCAUCUAUGAACAUCCAAAAAGUCAAAAUAAUUGAAGAAAUUUCGCUUUUUACGUAGCCCAAUGGUAGCAAAAGAUCGACAUAGCCAACCCCAAAUAUAUUGGUGGUGGCGUACAAAUUGUUAGUGCCUAAAACUAGAAAUGAAGGAGAAAACUUUCACCAUAGUCAUCCAGGAAUCCUGAGUUAUUUAGCUAUCAAUCAAUUAAUUUAUUAAGAAGAGUAAAGAUGAAACUUUAGAGUCUAUGUUCUCGAGAUAAAAUAUAUUCACUAGCUAUGAAACAGGAUGUCAAAAAAAGUUCGUAAAACAGAGAUGAGAAUGCUAACAAGUGUAUCAAAUUUUACUGAAAAUAAAUCGAAUAACUGCAAUUGCAAAAUAAUUUAGGUAUAGUACUAAUAAAGCAUAAUAUACUACAAAACCAUCAAAGGAGCCAAUACUAAUAAAAAACAUCUUGAUAUACCUCCAGCAAGGAAAGGUGAGCAACAUAAAAUAAUGCUCUAAGAAAGGAAAAGAAAGAUCAAUUAAUGAAAAACAAUAAGAAUAACUAUUAUAAUCCUAAGUUCAACAUCUAAGUACAACUAAAGAGGAUCCAUAUAUCUUAUCCUGGAUGUUUGGAGCUAUGGAUUUUUUAUGAUAAUAUACCAUUGUGUCCCAAGCUUUAUCACCAUUUUUACUAAUAUAAGGUAAAUAUCAAAGUGCAUUUUUGCAGCUGACCACAGAUCACCUUUACUAGCUCUCUCAAGUCUCAUCCUUAUCUAAAUAAUCACUUUGGCACCAAAACUUAGAAGGUGAGGUCCUUUGGACCUUACACUUAGCCAAUCUCAGUCUGAUUGUGAAAUGUGAUACCACUAGAUUCUACUAAAUCUUUCUUUCCUGAAAUAAAAGUCACAUCUCAGAUUUUAAAAAAAUAAAUCAUCAUUUCAUUAUUCAUAAUUUAUAGAAAACUCUUCUUUUAUCUUUGAAUUCAAAUCCCUAUCUUUCCAAUACUAAAUAUUUUUUAAUUGAAAAAAGAACUGCAUCUUCUAAGUAGGGCCAUAAGUGAUAAAAAAAUCUCCUUCACCCAAGGAUCAGAUCUAUUACAAAAUAAUAGGUUACUCUAAAAACAAAUAUAGGAUAAAAAUACAUCAGCAACCACACAUACUGGUAAGAACUCCGAAAAAUCAUAAAAAUAAUCUUCAAUACUCGUGAAACAUCUAAUUCAAUCAACUAAUAAGCUCAAACCAAUAAAGGAUGAGGAAAUUGGAUUAUGUCGCAUAGUGCUAGCCUAGAUCGAACCAACCCACCUAAGCAUUAGACGGGUCACGUGCGUCGCACAUGCUUAUCCCAGGUAAUAGGUUGGGUUGAGGUACAACGAGUUAGAUAGAGGGGCGAUAAAAUAUCUAUUGUCGGUCGCAUAGCUAAGCAGGCCUAACUUCUAAACUUCACUCAUGGGUUAGGCUGAGCCUUGCCGCUAAAUCGGGCCAUGCUUGGCUCGUGGGUUGGGUUAUACCUAACCACAUGGAUUGGGUUAUAAUACUUGACCACAUGGACUGAGCCAUGCUUAGCCACAUGAGCUUAGUCAUGCUUGGUCAUAUGGGUUGCGUCAUGCCUGACUACAUGAGCUAGGUCAUGUCUGGUCAUAUGGGUUGAAUUAUACCUGACCACAUAGGCUGGGUGAUGUCAAGCCACAUGGUUUAGAUCGUACGUGGCCAUAAGGGUUGGGUCGUGUCUACUCACAUGGGCAGGAUCAUACCUGGUCACAUGAGCUAAGACAUGUUGGGCCACAUGGGCUAUGUCGUACUUGGCCAUAUGGGCUGAUUUUGACCAAUCAACUUAACUUAGGUUAGAUCCCAAUUUGACAUCUUUUAUUAAAUUAGAUUUAAUAUUCUUAGAAGUACUUUAAAAUAUUAUAAAAUAAGAAUUAACCUCAUAUCUAUUCUUUUUCAUGAAAUAACUAAUUUAAAUUCAUGAUUCCAAAUUUAAAACUAAUUAAAUCAUAGAAAUUUAUACAUAAUUCCUUGAAACAUAAAUAUAUCUAAUUAAAUAAAUUAGAACUAUUAUCAAUAUUAAAUUAACUACUUAUCAGAAAUAUGUCUAACCAUUAUCAAGUCAAGUGUUGUAGCUAUUCUCAUGCAGGACCAUUGUAUUUUACUUUUCCCUUGAAUAAUGUUUCUUAUUUUAGGGUGUCAUGAGUUGCAAAAUGGCAAUAUCUUUGAUGAUUACACAUUAUCUAUCAAGAUUGCCAAGUAAAGAAAAAAAGAAGUCAGACAAAAAAGGAAGGAUAUAAAUCUUAGACUUGAUGAACGAUAAGAUCUUAGAAAACCUACAAAAAUGUUAUUAUAGUGAAGAACCAAUAAAGAAAAGAGACUAUCAAAAAAAAUAUUUUAUUAAGAAAUAUUAUUUGUCAAAACAAAUAUGGAAAACUAUGUUCUUGGGAGAAGAAAGAUAAAAUGAUUAAUAUAUCACGAUUUGUGGGAUGUAACUCCUUUUAUUGUGUUCUUCCUUAAUUUUGUAAUUAUUUUUUUAUAUACUUCAAAACUAAGAAAAGGGGAAAAUAAAUUGUGCUUCGAAACAUCGAUUUGUGAAUGAAAGAAUAGCUUUCUUUUCCCCCACCCUAUAUUUAUGUAUAGGUCACAAUCUUUCCAUCAUCCAUGUCUAAGAUGAGUGGAGAUAUUAAACAUUCAUCCUAAAGAGUUGAUCCUUUAGUCAAAGUGAGUAUGGUAAUUAUUUUUUUCUUUUCUAUUAUCUCUUUUAUUUUUCAUCAUUAUCUUUCAUGAUUAUAAUGUUUUGCUUCUUCUCUCUUUCUCUUCCUUUAUUCUCAAAUAGAAAAUCUCUGCUCCUUAUGAACUUGUCCAAUAUCAUAUUCCUUUCAUCUGAUGUCUAUGCAUUUGCACUCAAGGUUUUUCAUCCUUUGAUAAAGUCAAUUCUGAGUUGAUGAUCAGACAACAAAACCUACACCUUGGUUUCUGUGCAAUCACAAGAAGGGCACAAAACAAAAAAGAAACAACAACAAAUGUCACAAUACAGAUUUAUGGUCCUAUCAGAUUCCUAGGGACUGCUAUAAUAAGAAAAAAAAUUGAACCCCUAACCAAUUUUGUUGGAGACCAUCUCAAUCUCUAUCUUACUAGUAUAGAUGUUCUUUUUAGAGAUUGUCAAUUAAAUUAUGGAUGAUCUCCUAACAAACAUGAAAAAAUAAUUUCUUAUACCAUUCAAGAAUAAGAUCAUGUAAUAAAGAAUGGGUUGAAGAUAGUAUGAGAGCACUACUAUCCUUACGAACAAAAUGGCAGUGACACUAACAAGCAAACCAUAAUUGAUAAGGAACUACUUAUACUUAUUAUAAUGGUCUAUUGCAUUUGAAAUAUUGUCCAAAUACUAUAGUUAAUUGAACAAUAGCACAUUAAUGAUCAAGAUUUGUAUCCCAAAGAUCCCAAUGUUUCAGCCAAUGGUCAGGCAGCUCUUCAAAUAUACCGAACACUAAAGAAGUAUCAUCAGUGUUUAGAAAGCCUAGUUAUUACUAUCAGUGACAAUUGAAGGGCUUCAUUAUACACGCACCAAAAGGAAAGACAAAAAUAAAGAUUAAAUAAUCUAGUUUGUCUAUAGUAAACGCAAAGAUAAAGCAGAACUAUAAUGGGAAAAUGAGACAGUAAUUAGAUUGAGACGUGUUCAGCUGACACAUAGUAUGGACUAUGGAGAAAAAAAGGUCAUCUAUGAUAAUUGUCAUGUAAAUUAAGUCAAAAAGCAUCACGAGAUGCACAUAUAGAAGAAAAGAUUGAUGAAACUGAUGACAUUGAACAUGAUGAUGAUUCUGAUGACAACGGAUGAUGAAGUUCUGUUAGAUAAUUAAACCAGUAUAUAACAACUUUUUCCUUCUUCAUCCUACCUCUCUCCCCUCCCAACCCCUUCCUUUUCCUUUUCUUUGGCUUCCUUCGUCCUCUUUUCUUUCUUCUCCUUCCUCUUUUUCCUCUUCCUUCUUCCUUCCGUCCUCUCCCUCCCCUAAUGGUUCAUGGUACAUUCCAGUGUACCAACACAUGGUAUGCAGGAACAAACCUGACCUGUACUAGUCCAGUCACGGACUACUGGCACAGGUCCGAUAACCAAAACUGCAAACCUUGCAUAUUCCCGAACAUAUUGCAAAUCAUACAUCCCAACUAUUUGGGUCAAUCAUGGAGAAAAAAGGGUCAAACAUAUGGAUCUUUCCACCAUGUAACUUUGCUGAGGUCCUAAGGUUAAUAUCACUAGCCAAUUUAAAAGCCAUUAAUCCAUCAAUCAUGGAGAAAAAAGGGUCAAACAUAUGGAUCUUACAAGCUCCUCUCUCUCUACUCUGCACCAGUCAUCAUUAAUCCAAAUUAUCUCACUUCUAAGGUCCCUCAAUGGACGUCUCCGAACAAACCUUAGACAAAUUUUACUCAUUUUAUCAUCAAUCUAAAUACUCUUAAUUGUUCACAAAAAUGCAAAUUUUGUAGUUUAUCUUUAUAGUAACCACCACGCAACGAAGUGGACACCUCAUCUAAAUAGGAUUAACUUUUAGGUAUGUUGUUUUCUUACUGCCCAAAAUUUUGAACUCAAAUAAACAGGGCUGGCAAAUACUAUUCAUUUCUUAAGGACACCAUCAUUCAAUUCAUUCCUUUCACACAGGUUUUGACAAUACAUGUUUUAUAUGCAGAACGACCCAGUGAAAUAAAUUGAAUAUUUGAGGAGUUCAGCAUCAUUAUAUGAGCAUUAAGCCAUCAAGGAAAGGAAUAUCAGCAUAACUUUUAUAGAAGGCUAUGAUAUAGACACCAAAGGAGCAUGGUUGCAAUCGGCAAUCCAAUGUUUCAACAAGCAUAAAUCAACAUUGUACAUCCAAGAUCAUUGGUAUAUUCUUAUCUCUUACCAAAAAACACAAAAGACUCCUAGUUUAAAAACAACUCCUGCAUCCAUGUCAAGAUGAACUUCUUUAAGGGGAAAAAAAUGCAAAACUAUAAACCCAUACUACAGAUGAGUACAUUUGAACUUAAGCUGCAAUUUAUAAUAAAAAAAAAUUAGAAGCCAAAUACAUUCAAAAGAACAAGGAUAAGAAAAUAACUGUCUAAAAGAUGAAGAUGUUGCACUAGGUCAACUAUAGAUCUCAAAAAUAGAUCAUGAUUAAGGUUGUUAUGAAGAUCUGAAAAUAAAGUGCAGAGUCGAAAGUGAACAUCCUUUACAAGCUCAUUUCUUAGCAAAAUUUCAUAGGCUUACCACCACAAAGGUACAAUGUAUAACCCCAUCAUAAAGCCAAAAUUCCAUUUUACCAUCAUAAUCUCUCACUUCCAAGAAAAUUUGGAACUUCUGAUUAACUAGCUAGAAAAUGAGCAUCAUAAGACAUUAGAAGAAAUUAAGUACAAUAUACUCCAGAAUUUAUUACAAUAUCCUUCCUAGACAAUUAAAGAGAUCUAUGUACUUCAACUAAAUUUUUGUUAUGUUACCCACAUUUUCUAUAUAUCAUAUUCAUCAGACUAAUGAACUUUAACCACGUGUAAGAUAAACAGUUUAAUCAGGUCCUGGUUAUAUCUGAUGAUUUAUCAAGAGGAAUGAUGAUGACUUUCUAGUAUUUUUCCUGCAUAUCAACAGGUUUGCACUGUCGGAGGACAAAUGACAAACAAACACUGACACAUUUUUUUCUUUGUUAAAAGAACUGUUCAAAGUUUAAAAGCCAAAAAUGAUACUUGUGCACUAAGUUUCUUUCUUGUUUAUCAAGACAUUCCCACCUUUUUCUCAAAAAAAUACAAAAUGGUAAAUUAAAUGAGACUGCGACUAAUAGAUUUAGAAACACAAAAGUGUCUUAAAAAUAACCAACAUAUUUAAGUCGCUUACUUCAGACCAAAGCUAUGUUCUUAAACAUUAUACGGUGUAAGAAAUGAGCUAGAAAAGAGGAAAUACAGAUCAUCUUUUUUUUCAACCGAGAGUACUUAUAUAACAAUAUGGAUGCACCCUAUAUCAGUGUUGACAAAUGAAAACAUCUUCCAUAUCAGACAAGAACAUUGAAUUAAUAAUCAUAACAAUAAGAUCCGGUAAGAAGAAAAGAAACAAACCUCCCUUAAAAGAAUUCAUCUCUAAUUCGACAGAACUACAAGUUACCCAGAUUCAGAUCGAGCUCUUGGUUCAAUAAACAAAGAAGACGUAGAGGCAAUAACCUGCAAGACGCUGUUGCAGUAGCAGGUGUUGCCGAAGUUCUCAAGGCCGAAGUAGCGCUCGCCUUCAGGGAACUGGUCGCCGAGGGCCUUCUCAAGCUUGGAGCCGGCGGCCCCCAUGACUGUCCACUUGUCCCACCAGCCGCCGGCGACCCCGGUGAGGUACCGGAACCCUAGACCAAGACCGGAACGCGACCUCUCCGGCCCCCUCUCGGCCGCCGUUCCGCUCGCCUCCGUUGACGAAGGGGUCUCCACGGUGAGAGAUCACGAGUAGGCUCGAGCUUCUAGGGUUUGAGGCACGGUCCCUGAUGACGAGGGCGAAGCGAAUUCCCGCGGCUCCCGUUCGUUCGGCGUACGGGCGAGAGAGUGUAGGAGAAGAAAUGAUCGAGGGUGGAAUAGCGAAAGAAAGAAGGUUAAAACAGUGAUCGAUCGAUCUGAACGUUUUCUUUAUUUUUGUUUUCCUUUUUCUUUUUGAUGUUGUUUCGUCGUCAUAUUUUUGUUCGAGAGGAAGACUCUUCCUGUCUUCUCGUCGUUGACUCGCCUACCGGCUUUCUCAUUGGAUGCCUCAGGGAGAACCCAUACAUGUGACCCUAUUAGCGAUAAGGUGUGCCGUGGGGUACGUACGAAACCGGAUGUUUUCAUUUAUUUGCGCACUCCACACGUGCAUACCGUUUACUUCAUAUAUUCCCGUCUAAACAUGCGAGAAAGCACGGCUGGAUUUCUAUUUUUCGGUGUGUAAGACGAAACUAAUGAACUAUUCUGCGGUUAGACAUGCUAUUAAACAUGAGUCGAUUUAUCAUAAAAUCCAAUGUAAUUUUCCUGACACUAUAAUCAAAUACAAUCCGAAUUAUCUUAGUGUUCUUCUCGUAUAUCAUUUCAGAAAACAUGGGAUCAAAGCUUCCCAGUUAUCAUUUUCCACUAUUUACGAGUCACGCAUCAAACCAGAUAUAAAUAAUCCUUCUAUUUUAUUGGUAUACUGCCAACUAAAAGUGUUUAUUAUUUAUAAUUUUAAUAGAUAUUUAAAAGAUUAUUAUUUUAUGCCCUGUCCUAAUUUAAUUAGAUUUUUAAGUGAAAGAAAUUUAUGUCAUAACUCGUUAUCCAAAUGGGAAACAAAAUAAUAGGGCAGAAAUUUGAGUUACAACUUGUGCUAUCUCGAAUUGAAGCAAUAACAUAAUUGAGUUUAUAACAUAAAAAAGAUUGACUAAUGUACUUAGGAUCAUUAACCAAAUUAAUAAGAUACUAGAGAUGUAAUGGCACUGUUGAAAUUUGAAGCGGGAGAUGAACAUAAAACUGAUAAGUAGAUGAGAUUUCCUCAAACAGUUAGGAGAAAGCUACCACUUGCAUAAUUGGAUCACGAAUCUACUCCACUGUUGCUACCACUGCAGAACUCAAUUGGAUCACGAAUCUACUCUAGGAACUCAACAUCGAUACCUAUCCCACUUUGUACGCGAUCAAGUUGUCCGCCGUCAACUUCGUGUUUCUCAUGUUCAUACGGUUGAUCAAUUGGCCGACUUAUUUAUGAAGCCUCUCGUAAACUUUUUGCAUUACAUCUGUCCAAGAUUGGUGAUCGAAGUACCAUCUUGCGGGGCGUGAUAAGUAGAUGAGAUUUCCCUAACUGUUUGAGGAAAUCUCUUACUCUGUCGAGGGAAAUCAUCUAACCUGUUGAGGAAAAUUCUCCCUUCUAACCUGUAUAAAAGGAAGGGGAUAUGUUAAUAACAAUCAACUUCUUCUACAACUUAUUUAUCUAUUUAUUUUCUAACAAAGACAAGACAAAGCAAUAAAAAAGAAAAAGGUUUCUUUCCACUCCUAUUCUCUACGUUGCAACAAGAUAUUAUAUAAGUCUUUAUAUAUAAGAGAAUUGACAGUUUCUAAUAUUCAGAAAUUACUACAUUUGAGCAUUAUGGAUAAAGGAGGAAACAAUUUUUUGUGUUGCACGGAAAGAAUCCCAGUAUUUAUUUUGUGCUGCAUAGAAAGAAUUCCAAUUACUAAUGAUUUUCUUAUAUUUCUGUUAUGUAAUAUAAUUCAAAACUCAUCAAUUGAUUUAUUUAGUUGCCUUCCUCCUUUUAUCUCAUUGCCAUGGUUAAGCUGAUUUGGCUUUGGCCUUCCAUUUAUCAUAAAAUUGUUAGUAUCAAAUAAAAAAAUACAUGCAUUAUCAUUUAUAAGUUGACUAAUAUAAAUUAUUAUUUUUUAGUUUGGGAACGACGAGAAUAUUUCUUAAUUUCAAAUUACCAUAAGAAGUUUUUAAGAAAGCAUCACUUAAAUCAUACCCAAUCAUAAUAAUAGGUCAUAAACAUGUUUUACUUUUUUUUAAUUUUUUUUUUAAAAUAUUAUAUUUUUUUAAACAAAAUAAAAAAUAUUAAUUAUUUAGAUCGACUUAAUGGAAGUUGACACAAUAACACUCGAAAUUAAAAUAAGUUAAUUAGAUCAGAAAAUAUAUCUAAAAAUAUAUUUAAAUUUAAAUUACUUUAUGAAUUUUUUGGGUAUUAUUUGUAAAAAUGAAUAGGGAGUGCUAUGAAGUGGUCUGAUGGUAUAUUUCUACCAAAUCAUAUAGAUUUGCGGCUUUUCCUGGUAAAAUAUUUGGGCCAAAUGGAACGAAUACGUAUACAUAAACGUUCACUCGUUACAGCUAUUUAAAUAUAUGGGCCAAAUCGGAUCGACUGAGCCAACCUACUCAUCGAUACCCCAUGGCAGAGACGUCCAAGAAGCGACCGCUUCCCCCAGACGAAUUCGACUCGCCGCCGCCGGAGUACGCUCCUCCCUUCCUUUUUCUAUCCCAAACCUCUCCUCCUUCUUGUGCGAACUUUAGGGUUCCUUGAUUGAUUCCGAUGUGGGGGCGAUGGCAGGCAGAGGCGGGCUAGGUUUCCUAAGGGUAAGAAAGCGAAGAGGGGCAGCGAAGACCUCCCCUUCCAUGGGGACGGCGGAGACGGCAACUGGAUGGACCCACAGCUCGCUGCCAAGGAGCGCGCCAAGCGUCGCAACCAGACGCGGGAGAACGAGGUCUUAGGUGACCAGGUGGACGUCUUCUCCGGCGAAAUCCAGUACGAGGUGCUUCUACCUUCCCUCGUCACUUAAAUCUAUGAAAUAAAAGCUGUACAAGUGUAGUGGUUUUUGGUAAAAAUAUGUUUCCUCUCAUAUCUGAUACAUGUUUCAGGAAAGACCAUGUGUUUGUAGUGCAGCCUUUUUCAUCACGUUUAUGGAAAUUAGGCUGUCUGAAAAUGUGUCUUGUUGUUUCCUGUCAAUCUGUAGGAUCGGGGAGAGGUAUGGAUAUCGAUUGCCGUCAUUUUUUAUGAGGAUGAUGCUUUCAUCACAUUUAGUAUUUUUGCUAGUAAGUUCAUUUUGUGGAGGGGGAUACUAAGUAUUAUUAUACACUUGGGCUGCGAAGGAUGGGUUUUUUGUGGGUCUUAAUGGUGCCUUUAAAUUGGUUCAGGGUUCGAUUAAUCAGGGUUAGUUAUGAUAAUUUAACUUUGGUUGCUAGAGGAUGACCUUUUUGGUUAGCAAGUAGAAUUAGAGAUUAUUUUAGACCACCAUUUAUAUGAGUUAUUUUUAUUCCGAAUUGUUAGGGUUCAACUUCUUUAAUUGUGUCAAUCUAAUCACCUCAACUUUGAGCUUUUGACUUUUCAAAACAAAAACAAUCAACUUUACUUUUAUGUUUUUAUUGAUAUAGACGGUUUGCUAGUCAGUCAAAAAAAAUGUUCCUGAUGUCUAUUUACAUUUCAUACCAAGUACUUGACUUGUAUGACUAUAAUAUUGAACAAAAAUGGCUAUGCUUGGGAUGCUUAAAAACGGUGCAAGUGAAUCGAUAUGUUCUCUUCCUUUGGUUUGGAGCGUUCAUAAUCAUAAGUUUUGUUUUUAACCAAUGGAAUAGUAUGUCGGCAUGCAUCAUAGUACCAAGAGGGGAGGGGCGAGGAGAAGAAGACGGGCAAGAGGAGGUAGAGAUGGAGAAGGAGAAGAGGAGGAGGGAGGAGUACCAGAUGGGGGCAGGGUGUGGCUGGCAGUGCGAUGGUGGGUGGGCAAUGACAUGCUUCUGCACUUCUGCUUUGUCCACCCACAAUGUCUAUUCAAGAGUAUUCAGAAUUCUAGCCGAACUCAAUAUGGAAAGCCUUUUGUAUUAGUUAAUACUUGAUACACACCUCGUUGAAGAUACAUUGGGUAAAACUUGUUGUUUUGAUAUACACUUGUAUUUCAUUACUUUUCCAAAAAUUCUCAACUAAGAAUUUCACUUGUUAUGUGCUGGCUAAUAUGUUUUGUUUCCUUAAGAUGUUAGCACCAGAUACUCAAACUACCAUUGUUUUAUUUUGUCUGUAUUUCUGGGUCACAUUAUCUUCAGCAUUUUUCUCAGAAUGAAAGCAUUUGAGACUAUUGCUUGGGUCUACUAUGAUCUGUUUAAUUUUCUCACUUUAUUGUCAUUUUUCAUCAUAUAUGUAAUUAUGAAUAUUCUUUUAUUACUCAUCAACGUUAUAUGACAGUAUCACUGCUAAUUUUAUACAUAGACAACUAAUAGCUAAUGGUGAUUAUGUAGCAGGAUAAUGUCAACUUUGAGGAUGAUGGGAUUCAAAUAGAACCAUUUAAUUUGAAGCAAGAGAGAGAAGAAGGUUACUUUGAUGCAAAUGGAAAUUUUGUUGAAUACACUAGACAAAAUGAAAUUAAGGUGUUCCCCCUGCUUUUCCUCUUUGUCCUUUUCUUCCCUUUCCAUCUAUUCUUUCCCAUCCUUUCUCUUCUUCUCCCUUCUUUCUCCCACCACUUCUAUUAUCACACACACUCGCGCGCACGCGUGUAGAUACACAUAUAUAUGUAUGUAUAUAUAUGUAUAGUCGUGCAAUGUGAGAUGUACACUUGACAUUUAUUUCCGGUCGAUCCAGGAUGCAUGGCUAGAUAAUGUUGAAGUUGAUACAAGAUUUGUGGGAAAGUUUCAGCCAAAAAGUACUGCAGAGGAGGUAUAUGAGGAUCUUUCUUCAGAUGAUAUAGGGAAAAUAAAAAGAAGAAUAGCUGAUGCACUUCAGCCAGGAGAAACGGUAACUUCAAGACUUAUGAAUUAUUAUUUUUGUUGACUUUAUUCUUUUGCAGUUUAUUAUGAUGAAUGAUUGCUGAAAACGUCUAGUGCUUGUCUUAUCAAGUCUUAAUUUGUAUUCAACUUGCUUAUUGGAUUUGUCUCGGUUGAACUCUUUCGGUACCAAAAUACAGAAGCAAUGAACUGAUUUCGUGAGGCUUUUGAUAUUGGCUUUGUAAUAGUUGUUACAACUGGAUAGGGAGUCUGAAAACAGAAAUGUCUUUCAAUCUAUUGGUGUAACUUUGUUAGUUGUUAUCUUGAUCAAUGCAUAUCUGACUUGCUAGUUGUCCUGUGGAAUCUAAGAUUCACUUAUGAUCAUAUUUUAAGGUUUUAGUUAUGUAGGUUCUCUGUCCCCAUUUACCUUUAAGAACCCCUUUUAUAUAGAAUCCAUGUGGUUGCUUCUGUAUACAAUUACAUGUUACCUUGAAUAAAUAGUAAUUCUUCAGUACUUGCCCUCAUAUAUUAUUUAAUCUUAGACCCCCCAACUUGUGUCAAUAAUCAAUAUGCAGCUGGUAUUUCAGGAGUAAAUUUAGCUGAUUAAACUAGGUAGUCGACUGAUUAUACACUUAUUUUUCCUUCAUCUAGGUACCUAAAAUAAUACUACUGUUGAUGAUUACUAAUUACUGUGGACAAUUCAGAAUAGACUCAAGGUAUUAUGGCAUAGUUCCUUUCCAGUAUGACACAUAGGGAGAAAUCAUGUUGUCUAUAGGCCACACACAUCCUAAUGGCACCAAUUAGAUCAUGACACUUGCUAGCUUGUUAAAAAUCAAAUGUGGUUGUGCGCUCCACAUGGUGAAGUUAAUCCAGUCAUGCCCCAAUCCACACUUGGUUCACUUGAGAAUUACGCUUGUUGAUGUGGAGGUGUCUGGUGGUCUAGUGAGUGGCUCGGGUAUCUGAUCUGCUAAAACUUAUUGUUGGGGGCAUAUACACAACAGUCAAGUUUGUUGGCUAUCUGAGAUUGGAAGUAGAAUAAAUGUGUGUUUAUUUCUUUGAAUUUCACAGAGAGAGCCUCGCAUACCUGAGAGCCCCUAUUUAUGGAGAGCCCUAAAUGUAUGUGGAAGCAUUGUCCAAACCAAAUCCAUUAAGUUAGAACAGGAAACCGGGUCUCUAGGGUUUUAAUGAUGAUGCGGCUGAUGGCAUAGAUGUUGAUCAGGUGCUGAUGAGGAGGGAGAUGUGGAUGUUGAUCGGGUUGGCUCUCCACGUCAUAUUACCUACUAUCAUUUGCCCCCAUUGCACUCCAAGGAGCAAAGUGUGUCAGAGUGCACUGUACACUUCAAGGAUUGAGUUGAUGUGACAUACCAACAUGGCCGUAUCAAAGAUAGAUGACUCUUCAUGGUUUGACUUGACCAAACUGAAAGGUUGGUGAUUUUUUUAUAGUCCAAGAUAGCCGCAUCGAAAGUUGAUGACGCUUCAUGGCCCAACAUGGCAGCAUCGGGAGUUGAGGAUGCUUUGUGGCUUGACAUCAUCGUGUUGAAAGUUGAUGACGUUUGCCCAAUAUUGGGAGUUGAGGAUGCUUUGUGGCUUGACAAGGUCACGAUGAAAGUUGAUGAUGCUUCGUCACCCAAGAUGGCCACGUCGAGAGUCGAGGAUGCCUUAUGGACCAGCAUGUCCACAUGUCGGGACAGUUCAGAAUAGAUGCAAGGUAUUAUGGCAUGGCUCUUUCCACUACAUAUAGGGACAAAGCAUGCUGUCCGUAGGCCAGGCACAUAUCCUAAUGGCACCAAUUAGAUCUUGACACUUGCUAGCAAACAUGACAGAUCUGACAUGCCAGUCCUUUGAUCCAUCUCAAAUUUGAUGCUGCAAACAGUUUCUUAGACAAACUAGUAACAACAUGAUUUCUGUGAACAUUCUUAUUCAACUUCUUCUGUGGCAUUCUUAUCUGCAAUUAAAUAUCUGACUUUUGCUGUUUCACAAUUGUUUCAUGAGGUUCUAAUGUGGAUGAGAAAGCAUUUGAGUUCUGUUUAGAUCACAAAAAUAAAAAAGGAAUCUAACCGCUUAAUUAAUUAUUUAUAUACUGAAAUACUUCCAUCGAACAGUGGCCUUCAAGCAGAGAGAUAAUACUAGGAUAUUUGCAGUUUUAUUACGUUACUGAGUCUGAUGCUUUUCUAAUUUUUGCCGUCUUCUAUUUCAGAUAAUACAAGCUUUGAAAAGGUUGAAAGGAACUUCCACCGACAAGAAAGCAAAGAUGUUGGAUGCCACAAAACAGAUAUUUGAUCAACUCACUGAAGAUGCCAUGAAACUCAUGGAGAAUGGAGAUUACAGUUGAGUGUAAUUACAUGUCAUCAAACUAUAUAUUUAUAUAAUUAUUGGUUGGUUGAAGAAGGAUUGCCAUCUUGUAUCAUGGGGUUAUGCUGAUCAUUUUCUGGCCCGUCAUGCCAAUUGGCACGCCUCCUGUUCUGUUUGAGACAGACCAUUGCGUGCCCCCUGUUGUGUUUGAUACAGACCAAAAGUUGGCUGGUCAUUUGACCUGUGUUGAUAUGUUCUGAUUGGAACGGUAAUCCUUGAGUCACACUGUAGUAGGUUAUCCUCAUUAUGCACUAAGGUGUUUGCUCUUUGAUGAGGUGGGAUCUUUUUUUUUUCUUUUCAAGUGGUCUUAAUGCAUGUUUCCUAUUAAGGAAGCAAACUAGAUAAGCUAGGUCAUUUACAACCACUUGAGGUUAUUGUGCUGUUGUUGUGCUCUAACAUCUCUAUUUUCUCUUGAAGAGUUUCCUGAUUGGAAGGCUCAAAUGCUUUUGAUAAGAUGGUGAAAUGAUUUGCCCAGUUGUUCAAUACUUCAAUAUAACUAACUUUUUUUCCUUUGUUUGGUUUCCAGAUGUUUACUAUGAAGAACAGGAGACCUUUGCGCGGGAAGCAGGUGGAUGUGUCGUUUCUUCUAAUUUUUUUGAGAAGUAUACACUUAAUUAUUUACAGAUAAAUACAUAGAGUAACCUGUAGACCAUAAUAGCAAGUCGGACUUUCCUAUAUAUCCGACAGGCAUAAAUAUGCUUCUUGAGACCUCUCUUUUGUUUGUGUCUGUUUUUAUGUCAAUUUUUGGUGCUCAAGUUUAUUCUUCUGCUCUUGAUGUACUGUUAAUACCUUAUUUCAAAAUCUGUACUUAUCAUAAUGAUUUUUUUGCUUUUGUUGCUUGUUAUGUUCAAAGAUGGUGAGUAGUUUCAAUCAUAUUGAUGCUUAUCUUUCAGUUUGCAACAGUAUUUCUGAUUAGCAACCUUCGCUAUCCAAGUACAGGAGUGAUGUAGCAUUUAUCUGCUAUAUGUCUGUCUUUGGCGAUGAUAAUUUAUUGUAGCUACUGAGUACUGACGAACUUGAAAUUGCAUAGGCUUUCAUUCUUCUGCUUCCCAGAAGAUUUAUACGAUCGUUCUGUUUACUGAAUCCUUUUUCUGCAUUUUAAAACCAUACCUUGAGCGGCCUUUCUCUAUCAUAUAUAUGAGCAGGUGUUUUGGUAACUUGAAUAUUAUGUAUGGGAUAUAUCUACUGUUAGCAACUUUAUAUGCAAUCUUAAGAAGUAAAAGAGAGUACAGGCCAUAAAAACCUACAGAACUUUAUAUGUUAUCCUUUUUUUUAAAACUCAUUCUUGAGUCUGAGACUAUUUUUUCUGUCACAGUAUUAGAAUGGAGUGACUUUUCUGAUAGAAGUUUGUUGCUCACAAAUUAUGACUCAUCUUUCACUUUCAUAGACUUUAGUUUUAUGCUUCAUUUUUCUCCUCCUAUCGUGUACCACAGAAUAUUUUUCUCUUUGUUUCUUUGCUUUGUUAUAUUAUCUUUAUCAGUUUGGCUUAUAUCCUUUUUAUAGGUUAAACAAUCUUAUACACUAGUUGAAAGACAAACUCUAUGACUAGGACUCAACCAUUCCUUCCUCCAUAGCUCGUAUUAUGGUUUAUGAUGGCAAAUUGUCAGUUUUUUGGGCUUAAAACAUUAUCACCAUUGAACACUUCAGGUCAUUACAUGCUAUAGCUGGAGACUACUUCAAAUGAUGAGAAGAUGAAUGAAAAUCAAGCAACAUAAAACUGGUUUUUGCAUUACACUAAUAAUUUUUGAGUCACCGAGGCAAAUAUAAUGACAAGAAGAAAUCGCUUUUGAACUGGAGUCAUCUUUUCAAACUCUUUAAUGCAUGUAGAAAGAGUCUAGAUGAGUGGGGGCUUAACAUAGUUCAGUGAGUUCCAUUUUUUAUUAGCCUUAUUUACUAGGAUCGUGUCACCUAUCAUGCUCCAAAGGUAAUGUUUUUACCAUCUGUUAAUUUCUAUGGAGAAGGUAUCUUGGUUGUGAGAACUGAUCAGAAUGUGUUUCUUGUUUGUGAUAAAUGAUUCCUUAUCUGUUUCGUGUUGUUCCUCGGGGUAUGUUGAGCCUCUAAAUGGGUAACUUUCUACAAAACCUACUUUAUAUCAUAGUGGUCAUUUACACCUGAGGAAAAGAUUGAUCCACUUGAUUAUAAAAUUAUAUCGUUUUUAUGUUAAUGCAUAAUAACCUAUAUAUUUAAUGGUGCAUGCUCUGCAGUCAACUGUUGGCACCUGUUAGUCUAUCUUUUAUGUUACUUGAAUAUGGAAUUGUUGAAACAAAGAAGUUCAAUGUCAUGGCACAUUAUUAUGUCAAAAGAAGAUGGUAGGUCAAGAAGGAUUGAUCGGUUGUUAACUUAGAUGGUAGAUCAUGCUUUUUUUCUGCUAACCUGACUAAAGACCUAUGUGUGUGGUCACAUGACCAGAUCUGCACAUGUGGCCAGCUGUUCUAUGUAUGCAUGUGGUUGCAUGGCUGCACUAACUGCAUUUCGGUGUAUGAUAUUCUGCUGUGAGUGUCCAUAUGUAGAACUAUAAAGGAGUGGCUUGCUUUGCUAUGAGUAGGUGAUGUUUUGCAGCUAUAUUGUUCUUAGUUCCACUGUCUUUCCUUAGUGCUACUUUUUAUUUCUAAUAACUCCUUAAGUUGGACAUCUAAAUGUAGGAUACCAUAUUUGUUAUGUUGAACAUGGAUUUUCUUAGCAAUUAUUCAACUGAUUAUCUUUUUCAUCUUCCAUGUACUAUACUACUAUCUCAGGAAGUAAUUAUGAACUUGUAAAAUUUAAUCUAUUACAGAAGGAUAUGAGCGAUUAACUCGUGCAAAAGCUGAUACGACUGGUACAAAAGGCAUCAUUUCUGAAUCAGAUUGUGCGGAGGAUAUAUUUUCUGAUGGUAUGCAACAUGGAGAACAAAAAUCAGAGAUAUGGGACAUACAUCCUAGACCUUCGGCAGUUAAUGUCUCUGUUCAACAAGCAUCACCCGAUGAUAGUGGUGACAAAAUUGACAUGUUUGGGGAUGAAGAAAAUGCCAACGAGAAUCUACCUGUCCCCAGUGCUGAGCAGGCUGAUCAACCUACUUCAGGAAGCUUGGGUUCUUCCCAAGACCUGGGCUCUGGAGGUUUUUUUUUUUUUAAUGUGUCAAUGAAUGCCCUCCCUUAACUAGGUGGCUACGGCCUUCCAUGUAAGUGAUUUUCUUCUAAAGUUUGAUUCCCGUGCAGCUGUCAGUCAUGGAGGGGAUGGAAAUGAUUAUGUAUUUGACGAAACAUCCGGGUAAGCAGUUCAGCCAUCUUUGUUGAAAAAAUUAAGGAGUCCUAGCAUCUCAUUCUCCAGUUUUUAUUUUUUGAUGUCAAAUCAAUCUUUGACUGACUCAACGGAAAUUCUUCUGGAUAAAUUGGAUGGCAAAUAUGUAUAUUUUUUCUUAUUAAUCAAUUUAAUCUACAGGGUCAUUUCUUGUUUAUUCUUUUUCUGUGAUGUAAAAGUAGGCAUGUUAAAAUGGAGUGCUGAGGAAGGAAAAAGAAGGCAGUGUACUUUUUGCUGUUAAAUUGUGUUGUUUAAACUAAGCACAAAAUUCUUCACAGCGAAUGCUUUACUAUGUUUGUUAUUUGUUUUUGUUUGAGAAACCAUCUCCUGCACUAGGUCAUAUCUUCUAAUUUUGGUCAAAGGUUGGGAUUUUAGACCAACAAAUUUUAUUAUUGUCUUCAUUGUUUGAUCUUGUAGUGUGUAAACUAGAAUUUUGAAUCUUGAAGCACACAUCCAGUUAUUCUGUAUCUUUGGACUCGAUUUUGUUGUGUUCAUUAACUUCAUUGAAUAAUUACCUUUUACCUUAACAAUCUGAUGUUUUUUCCAGUUUGAAGUGGCUUUACUAGUAUGCCUCUAGUUUCGUCAGAUAUCUUGAUUUUGAUAAAUUCUUAUUUUGCCUGCUUCUUUGCUGUAAUAGUUAAUAACUUCCUAUUUUGCCUGCUUCCUUGCAGUUACUAUUACAGCAGCAGCUUGGGCUAUUAUUAUGAUCCUACUUCGGGAAUGUACUGCUGUGGUGCAACAGGGACAUGGUAUUUAUGCCUAAAAUUAAGUUAACACUAGUAGUCGUGAAAUACACCAUUUAUUUAGUUUUUAAUUCUUCCACACCUAUUAUCUUUUUUCUUUUCUUCUUUGUUAUUCUUAUCAUUGACCUUACCACCAUCACCACCAUUGUUGUCUCCUUGGUGACAACACAAAUAACCAUGGGACCAAGUUACCUGCGUGGAUCAUAUUUUAAUAAUAUAACAUAGAAUGAUUAACCUUUGUGGUUAAUCCAUGGUUCGCGUUAUCGGUCCGUAUCGACGUAUCGACCAACCAUCAGUAUGGUACGUUUCGAGUUAUACUGAGCUAUAUCGAACAUACCAACACAUAGUACAUAGGGACAUACUGAUGUAUCGCUCGUACCAAUCUCCUGUUGGACCAAUAUAUACCGCCCGUACUGAGCGGUACACCAUGGUACGGCAAACCUUGAGUUAAUCAAGUUUAUAAAUACUGUUAUACUGCUUUUCGGAGCGUAAGGUUAUUUUGUUCUUUGCAAUGAUUUUCAUGUAGCGAAGCAAUUCAUUGGUCAUUGUUAUAUCAGCAGAAUUGUAUGACUUUGAAUUUUUUUUCCCUUUAUUAUCCUAGUUGUUCCUAUAAUCUGUUCCAUUUAGAGUAUUUCUCAAGCUUUCUAUUAAAAAAUAGUUUUUUUUUUUGUUCAGGUACACAUUUGAUGAGCAUAGUGGCACCUACACUGAAAUUCAGAGUUCCACAACCGAGAGUUGAAGAGUCUAUAAAUGGACCAAAUGUAUAAUCUGCUCAUAAGAACUCCAAUGUUGUAAGUCUACUGAAACGACAACCAAGUGUGACAUAACUUUCUACAGCAUGCACAGACAAGAAAGAUACAUUUAGGUCAUCUGAGUUUCUGGGUGUAGCCAACCGUUCACCCCUUUUUUAAUUUAAUGGGAUAAUUUGAACCAGUUUCUUGACUUCAGUUUGCGGCUGAUCUUUAAAAGCUUCUGUAGGGACAGAAUAGUGCCAUUUCAUGGGGUCUGAUAGGUGCUUGGUUUCCUCUUAAUUUUUGCUGGGGUUGUUAAAGGUGAAUACAGAGUGAAAAUGCAGCGAGCAGCAGCAUGCAUAUAUUCCUAGUAGUUGUCUAAUUGAUCCUGCAGCCCGGCAGAUGUACCCGUUGAUGAAGCCAUUUCUGGAGCACGUUUCACCUUCCAUACGAAUAGAGGAGGUAAGACUUGAGACAUCUUCCGCCAUGAAGUCACUCUUAUAGGUUCAGAAAGCACUUGAAGAUGCUGCUUAGCUAUUAGGUUUUCAUUUUUUUCCUGUCUUGAUUGGAAGCUAUUCUUUUAAGAUGGUAAUUUGUACUUUUGUCAAAUUUGUUCACACAAAAGGCACACAUGUUUGUGAUGGUAACACAGGAGGGAAUUUUAUCCUUAUAAAUUUUAAGAUUCUUCGUGAACAUCUCUCCUGUGUUACUAUCAAUCCAAACAAUACAAGGUUACCAAUAUCAAAACAAUAUACUAAUAUAAAAUGAUUAAAUUAAUGUUCAAAGUUUGUCAGUUUAUGGAGAUUACCAAAAGUUGUAUGGGUAAGUUUUUUUUUUUUAAUGUUUUUGGGGAUAUUUAAGUUAGAUCUAAAUUUAGAGGGAUGAAUCAUAAUUAGUUUUUCCAUUAUACUUUUGCUGUGUGCUUCAAUUUCAACUUCCUUUUAUUUAUUCCUUUUUGCAAAAGAAAGAUGGAUUUUGAUUGGAGAGCAAAACAUUGGUCAUCCGUGAGAAAAUUAAUUUAACACUCUCAUUCGUCCUCAUUAUAUAAAUUCAUCUUGACUUACCUUAAUAAUAAGAAAAGGGUUGCAUUCGGGUGAACCAAAAAUUCUAGCUUAGAUUCUCAAUACAAAUAUAAUUAUAUAUGCCUAUUUCUUGUAAACUUGGCCAAUAAAUUUGUAAGUCGAUGUUCUUCAUGAAAAAUUAAAAAUUUUAUUUGAUAUAUUUUUAUACCUUAAAUAUUAGUCUAAUUGUAAUAUAUCAAUUGCUUUUACCAAAAAUUAAGGGUUGAAAAUCUAUCUGACAUAUUUAAUUAUUGCCAUGAAAAAAAAAAGUAACAGUUAAUUUAGUUGGUAAAAAUCUUAAUAAUUUAUUAUAAGAUUUUAAAUUCAAUUCCUGUAUGUCUCUACGUAGGGUCCAUUUCAUAAGUCAACUCUGAUGUGGCAAUUGAAUGGAUUCCAAAUAGAAGUCACGCACCACCGACGACCUUCCCUUUGCUAUUUUGACCAAGGAUACAGUGGUCAACUUUUAUGUGGAAAUUGCAUGGAUUUCAAUGGAACUCACCGGUCAAACGAUGCACGAACAUUAAAUACCAGAACACUACAUUAGUGUAAGCGACAAGGUUUGACGAAUGACUUCGAGCGCAUGCAAAGCGGUCGGUCAGCUCAAAGCUUGAGUCCCGCACUCAUGGUAGCUCUGCGUGUGAACAUCUACCAAGCAUUGAGUGUUGCUGCAGCAAGAAAGAUCUCCUCCUCGCUUCCAUCCCAAUCACAGCUCGUGCAACCACGCCCCUCCAUGGCCAAACUCUGGCCAAUCCUCUGCGUCUUCGGUGCUUCUGUGACUUCGGCCUUCAUCUCCACUGACAGGCUCGGAGGUUCAAGCCCGCAAAGCUCGGAACUCACAGCAGCAAAUCUGACGCAUCUCUUCGACGCCAUGUCCGGCGAGGCCACCACCUCCUUCCACGCCACCUCAGCUCUUCCCAAGAGCUUCGACCCCGCGAACCCUCCAAGAACCGAAGCUCUACCCCUUCUCCUCCUCCAACGAAGCUCGAACACCACCGUGUGCGGCUCGAGCAGUUCUCCUACGGGGUCGGCGGCGCCCUGGCACUCGAUGGUGGAGAUCUCCUCCCAACGCGGGUUGCCUGUCGGAGGGACCUCACGCGUGUCGACGCGAAUUCUUCUCCCGGUUCCUGCCACCACAAAGUAUCUGAUGCUCAGGUUGCCCGGGAGAUCAAGAUCGAAGUUUGACAGUCUAUCAACCUUUAUCUCACAUCUGAGGUGAGAGAGCUCACUGCAAUUAGACAUAACGAAGCGAAUGGAAUGAGAAGGAGAGGUAGAGAGAUCAAAGAAGAGACCGAAGUGGAUAUGACGGUCGUCAGGCAAUGGCUGCUUAUAUACAAGUUGAAAGUGCGAGGGGUGUCUCAGGCAGUGGAAGCGGGCCAAUUUGUUGAUAGCGAAAGAAGAAUAGCUUGAUAUAUAAUUGUGUUGUUUGAUAUGAACCCCAACCCCUGUGGGCACUGCAGAAGAUGGCCAACUGUAAUAGACUUUGGAUGAACCAGGAGCCAGAGGCCACAAAACAAAAAGGGUCAUAUGGAAGUGCUUUUGUGGAGAUAAGGCUCAGCAUGGUGGACUUGUAGCCUCCAUGAAGGAAGUCAAAAGGAUUCAGGCUCCUGUUCGAGGAGAUGUGUGGGUUAUGCAACCACUUACCUUGGUCAUCCACUAAGCCAUAAGCGAGGGAUAGCAGCACUUGGUGGUCUUUGGUCUUCACAUUUGACUUUGGACAGGAAUGUAGGAAGUGCAGCAUUACUUUUUGUUGAGACUCAGAAAUAGGGCCUUUUAAUUUGAAUCAAGUCACAGUAUACAGAUCAAUGCAAGUAGAACACGAAUGAUUCAUGUAAUCAACUUGUGUGGAAGCUAAAGUGUGCAUCUAAUAAGAACUUUGAAAUCUAAUUCUUGAGGUAAACUUGACCUCUUCCUCAAAAUCGAAACAAGUAUCUUUAAAAGCCAUAUAUGUGAACAUAAUUUCUGUUCUUCAUUCUACAUGCUGCCAUAUACAUCAUACAAAGUCAACAUCAAUAAUACACCCUCACCAUUGCUUCCACUCUUCAGUCACAAUAAUACAUGAGAGAGGAUUGGUUUUGACAUGAACAGUCUGUGGAAGCAUCCAUUAUUGCAUGCAGGAUAUUGAGUGCAUCCGACUGUUUUCCCAGUACUGAAUGGGUUGACCAGGAGAUGGGGCUACUCGGUGAGAUUAGUAUGUGGCCCAAACUUCAAAAUGGCUACAAUUCACUCCACAUGUGUGUGUGUGUGUGUGUGAGAGAGAGAGAGAGAGAGAGAGAGAGAUGAAUACAAAUCCAAGAACGAUAGCCAGAUCUGUCAGCAUUGGAUAAAACUCCAUGAGAUUCAAUGGUGAGACAGAGGAGAGAAUCUCGUCUGCAUGGGAUUAAGGAUGAGUCAUGACUUAAUGCUUUACAAAAAGAUUGGCAAGUGUUCAUCAGAUUGACAUGGAUCAAGCGUAGAAAGAAGAUGCAGGAAUGAGAAUGUUGCAGUGCAAACAGGAUCUUGAAUCUGAUAUGAUAGACUAAGGAAUACAGUGAUAAAAUAGUGAUCAAUAGAUAGUUAGAGGAGGAUUAGAAUGGUGAACGAAUUCUUAGAGGAGGAGCUGUGAUCAUAACAUUGAUUGUAAAAUAUAAAGAGCAUGUUUUUCUAACAAUGAAGGAUGAUAACAAAGAUAUCCAUGGAAAAGCUUACCUAUGUUCGAGAAUAGUGGAGAAAUACUCCUCACCUAAUCCAAAUCAAACACAAGAUGCAUUUUUCCAUAUGUUUUAUUUUGCUUAUUCCUUUUGGUUCUGAAUAUUUCAGCUAAUUGGCUAAUCUUCUAUACUUAAAAAGUGUAAAUGAGGUAUUCUUAUCAUUCGACCAGCUUUAAGCAGACACAUGAGUAGUCUCAGAAGUUAUGCUAAUCCUUAAUGGGAUCCUACAAUCCGAUUACUACAUCUGUGUUGCUCUCAUUAUUAGAUUGGGGCCUUCGCAGAUCACAAGUUUGUGGCUUUCACUUUGAAACCUAGUUCUUAUGUUUAUGAAGUACUUCAGUGAAUGGAAGCAUGCAGAUAAAGUUGUGAUGCUUGUUCAAGAGAAAACAAUCUAUGUAGUACUUCAGUGAAUGGAAGCAUGCAGAUAAAAUUCUGAUGCUUGUUCAAGAGAAAACAUUCAUUCUUAGGCAUUGACAUAGAAGACUAAUUCCUUUGUUAUUGUUUUCAUCUUGGUUCUUAUAUUCAACAAAUGUUACAGUUAAAUGGCUCAUGCAAACAUCUCCUGUGGUAAAUGAUCUAAUUCCUUGUGUACUUGGUGGAGGAAUGACUCUUAUUCAAGUUAAUCUAUGUAUUCCAUUGUGGAUGCUCUGGCAAAGAAAACCUCAUCAGCUUCUAAGGAAAAUAUAGAAAGUUCACAAGAUAAAAGGUAAUGUUGUACUUCAACACCCAUCCUCCUUAAUCUCUUCAAAGCUUAGUUGGUCAUGUUUCACCUAUAUCUAGAAUUGCUUUGUGAUUUAUGAGCUCUCUCUACAACCUACAUUAUGGUCCUGCUCAUGAUGCUUAGUUGUGUGUAUGUGUUUGUCCAGAUCUCAUUGGAACUUAGUCAUACAUAUAUCUCUCUCUUCCACUGGAGAAGCUAAUCUAUGAAAUUGCAAAGCAGGUUUUUCUUGUAACGCUGUCAUAGAUUCUUCCAAUUUUAGUGGUAGAAUAUCUAAUAUAUCGACAUAAUUGUAGCAUUUCAGCAAUUUUUCCUUGCAUUGGCAGGUUCCAUACAACUGCUCUAGCAUUUAUCUUUCAUUAAAUCAAUCUGUUUGUUGACCUCAAUGGAAUGACACUCCCACCAAUACGAGAUCCGAGGAGGAGAAUCAAUGUGCCAAACAUAUCAAUGUGCUCUAGCUUGGUUGCUGUCUCUAUGAACUUACUUUUUAAGUGCAUGGAAAAUAUGCAGCCUUAGCAGUACCUUAAUCACAGUGAUGCUUUCAAUAUUCAGUUUUUAUGAUUAGUAGGAGGAGAACACCUUUGCACAACCCAUAACAGAGAUAGGGCACCCUGGCAAUAGUCAAGGGGAAUCAAUGUUAUGCAUGCAUGAUUAGGUAUGAGAUUGAGGGGGAUUGAAGGUUAUGACAUCUGUGUUUUAUUUUUGUGCCUGUUUUGUAGGUUUUCUCCUGAUGCAGUAACUGGUAGCAUAUAGUAAACUUAUUAAGGGCGAGGUUUGAUAAUAUAUUUGCUCUUUUGCGUAACAUAAAAAAGUAUUUUUACUUAUGUUAAUCUUUCACGGAUCUCGCAUUAGUGGAAACCUCAUGUAUAUAAUAUCGGAAGACAACCAAAGGUGCUUAAGCCGAUACGGCACGUUAGGACGGAUUUGAUGCUUGAUAUGUAUAAAGUAGCAAUAAUUUGUCGAUGGUAUUUGAUCCUGCAAUCUUGACUGUAACAUGGUUAGAUAGAACUCUUAUGAUUAAAGCAGUUGUGAUGAUUCAAAUCUACUACUUAUUUUAUUGAGGUGAUUCUUAGUGCACUUAACCUGCCAUCCACAAUAAGAAAAGCAUCAGAUGCCAGUUUCUUGUCUCACUGCUCCUCCUUCACAUUGAUUCAGUGUCUGCAGAAAUCCUCUCCAGGGUUGUGAGGCAUUCACACCUAAGCCAAAGGCGAUCAUCUUUUGAGCACUUCAAUGUAGACCAGAAGAAAAAGGGAAGGAAACUAAUAAACUUCUACUAGUUGCUUGCUCUUUUCAGACUUCUGCUGGUCCAAGCAACAUCUUUUGCUUGCAAAGGGGGAUUCUUUGUUUUCCGAGAGUAAGAACAAAGAGAUGUGCUGCGGUUGGCUGGGUGGUUCUGGUGGGGAACAUCCUCCAAAGAAUUGCAUUUCUUUGGUGAUUGUGAUGGGCAGUAAAGAAGGAUAAAUGGGGUUGAACAUGGUGCCUGGCUGCCUCCGCAGGCCAUGGGGUCCUUUUCACCAAGGUAAGCUCCCAUCUCAUGCCCAUCGACUCUUCCAGUAUGGAACAGCUGUUGUUGAACAUGAAUGAUCAUACCUACCAGUGAGUGACUCAACUACAGGGCAGGUCUUGAUCAUGAAUGAUACACUGUGAGAAGUUGAAAUAGUCCCUCAACUUGGCACCAAUAAGAUUGUGUAUAUUGACCAAAUGACACCAGCAUCAGUACAAGUCUUCUGUACCAAGCCACCUUUUCAAUUAUUGACUGAGUCAAGCAAACUGCGAAGCAGAGAACAAAUCUUAUGAACGAUCGAUGUUCAAGCCGAGAAUACAAUUGCCUCUUUACCCAUAUUUUCUCUCAGCAUACUGUCAAGUAGUUGGCAACUCGUUUAGAUAGAUCCUUCGUAUCUGAAUCAAACACUCAUGGGUUUCGGUAGAUGUCCAAAGGCAGAAGCAGGCGCCUCUGAUAUGGCAAUUAUGUCCCUCACCACUGACAUGGUAAAAGAACAUGUUAUUCCAAUAUUUUUCAGAUCAUAUCCAGAAUAUUGAACAUUGAUAUGGUGUCAGUCUUUCACUCUGCCAUCCACGCAAAAUUACUUACUUGAUGUAUCAUCAAGAGGGGGAAAUCAUGCAGAUUUAAGAUCCAGCACAAUAUUCACACAACUUUGAAUCAGCUUCCAAGUUCUUUCCCCCUCCCUGCAGUCAAAAGUUUGGACAAACCUUCCAGAGUUGAUGAAUUUCUAGGCCACAAUAUCUGAAUUCAACGACUGCAGACAUCAAAUUUUACAUAGCAGGUUGGAUAACUACAAGCUACACAGGACUAUAAUACAACAUUGUUCCUCACUGGUUCUGCUGAGGAAAAAACAAACAGCAGAAAACAGCAGGUCUCAGACACAACCACAACAUACUCUACACCUAAAACCUUAGGCUUGAAUGGACUCUUACACUGAAGACCACAGAGAGAGUCUCUACAGAAGCUCAGCAAAUGUCUAAAAUACCAUUUGCAGCAGCCACUGGAGACAACAGUAACUACCAGACCUGCGUCCUGAGCUACUUACUAACUGCUGGAAGAGAGAAUGGAGUCCCAGUCGAUCUCCCAUGAUGGGCGUUUUUGCAACAUAAAGGUCUCCGAUUCAUCCCACGGCGCCUCGGUAAAAUCCAAAUGCUGCAUCUCAAGCACUGGCGGGGAGCAAGAGGAGUCUUCGCCCUCGGAGGAGCUCCCCGACUUGUUGUCCUCGGAGCCCGCCUUGGGCGCGGCCUCCUUGGUGACCGUUGGCGGCGGAUCGCCGCUGCCGAUUGUUGCGGACUCUGUGAUGGGCUUGAGGGUGGAGCUGGGCAGCGGGCUGCUCCUCUUUUUCGAUUUCGAGGAAUUGGCCAAGCCCUGGCAGAGGGCUUGGAGCUUGGCGUCGACGGUGGAGAGAAGGGGACCUGGGGCGGCGGCGGCGGCGUGCCGGAGGUUGGGGAAGUUGAGCCUGGCGAAGUCCCCGCGGAGCUUGUAGGCGGCCUUGUCGUAGGCGAGUGCGGCUUCCUCGGCGGUGUCGAAGGUCCCAAGCCAGAGGCGCGUCCGGUUCUUGGGGAGACGGAUCUCCGCCACCCACUUGCCCCAGUGGCGCUGCCGCACCCCGCGGUAUAGCUUUGUGGGCUUCGGGGCAGCGGGGGAACCGGUGUGCUUCAUCAGCUGAGGUCGCAGGCCGAGAAAGCUCGCAGCUUGGUGGUGGUGGCGGUUCGCCUGCAAUUGUCUCACGGCAAGGAGGUUCUGCUGCUGCUGGAAGAGGAAUUGAGCUUGAAUCUGCUGGAUCUGAGCUGGGCUAAGUUGGGUGAGCCCGACCCGGCCGACGCUGCCGACACCAAGGCGGUCCAAGCUACAGAAGCGCUCCGGUACCGACCCGGCGACAGACGGCGAAGGCGAGCAGGCAUCCAAGGCGGGAUCUUGACAGAGGUAACCGCCAACGGUGGGAUUUUGCAGGGAAUAGCAACCCAAGUUUGGAUUUUGGAGAGAGGAGGGGGUGGAGAAGCGGGGGGAAGAAGAGAAGGUGGACGGGGGAAGAGUGGAAGUGAGAGAAGGAUAUGAGUACGUAAGAGUAGUGGUAGAAGAGGUGGAAGAGGGAGGAGGAGGAGGAGGAGGAGGAGGGAGGGGUGGGAGAGGGGAGGAGGCGGAAGCACUUGUCAUAAAAGGCUCGAGUGCUUUCAUAAGCUCCUCAUCGAAGGGAUCUGCGGUGGUAAAUGGAUUUCUAUUGUACAUAUCUAUGGCUGUAGCCAUGCAAGAUCUAAGCAAACACUCCAAACAAAAGAGGAACCAAAAGAAGAAGAAAAAGAUGAUCUUUUUACCAAGAUAGAUCAAUAGAAGAGAGAAGCUAACAGCCCAACCCGGCUCUCAAACAAAAUCAAAGAGCAGGCAAUUGGGCUUCCAGAGUGGAGGUUCAGUUCAAAAAGCUGACCUCUUUGGCAUCUACAAGAAGGAGAAAAAUUUGAAGAAAAAGCGACCACAGGGUACAGAAAAACAACCCUCUAGGUCGACUAAAAUCCCAAAAAAAAAUGAUGAGAAAAACCCAGGAAAAAAAACUCUGGAUCUCCGUUAUGAAACCUCUGCCUCCCUAAGACAGGAAGAGAAAAACGACACCGAGGUCUGCUCUUUUCUCGCUGAAACAACGAAGAAAAGGACCUCAAGAUGAGAUUUGUUUUCUUUUCUCCUUCUUCUACAGGAGACAGAAGACGACAGAGGAGGGGGGAAGGGAUCGGGGGACAAACCUUGUGAUGUCUUCGGAUGGGGGAUCGCUCAGCCUCACCGAAGAGUGGAAAGGGGGGUGGGGGGGGUUGGCCUGUGGUGGUGGAGCUCACUCUAUCUUUUGGUGGAAGAAGGCAGGCUCACGGUGGUCGGUAUAUAAAGCCGCCUUCCCCUCGUCUUCGCUAACCACCGUGAUUAGUGUUAUCCUCAACUAAACGUGUGAUCGCACGCGCAUAAUACUGACGUCACCGCGUACGUGCCAAUGGUUCUUGAACGGACACGCGUCCUUCGACUUACAGCCUGGCAUCGGUUAAUUGAUGUGAUACGGCCUUUUUCAAUUAACUUCUUUUAUUUAUUUUAAUUAAGAAAAUACCUCUAAAGUUUCUAUUUUCAAGAAUGAGGUGCAUAUAUAUAUAUAUAUAUAUUUAUUUAUUUAUUUUUUUUUUAUUUAUUUAUUUAUCUCUUUGAAGGAUUGACACAUGAAAGAAACUAUAUAUAUAUAUAUAUCUCUUUGAAGGAUUGACACAUGAAAGAAACUAAGACAUGCACUUUGUAGUCUUACAUUUCCUAUUGUGUUCAAUGUAAGGAGAUGAAUAAUGGGAGUAGGGAUACAAGAUGAGAUGGUUGCAAUGUCAUGUUCAAAUUAAGAGUGGUGAUUGAAGUGGGUGAUUGGAUGGUAGAAUAUCUCUUUCUUAUUCAAGGUUGGGAUUUACCAAUCAUUUUGUGUAAAUCAUGUGAUUUUUUUUUUCAAAUGUAAUUUUUUUGAUACUUAAUGUAUAUAUAAUUUUAUAUAUCCUUAUGAAUAAAGAAAAUAAAUUCCAACUAUUAAUGAAUAAUCAAUUUUAUCAUUUAUUCAUCCUCACUAUGGCCUAUAUCAUAAAAUAAGCUUUUUAUUUUUCCUUAAUAAAAAUAUAAAUUAUCUAUAGUUGCAAACAUGUAACAAUUAGGACAGGAGAAAACCUUUUAGGUGUGUGAAAAGGAUGGUUCCUCCAUUUGAGUCUACUAGAAGAUUGGCUCAUUAAUUACUUUACCAUCAACUUCAUUUGUAUCACCAAAUUGGGGCAGUGAUUUCACAUAAAGUUACAUUCUUUUUAUUACAUAUAUAGAAUGUUAUUUGUGAAAAAGUAUAAAAGAAUACUUUUGGACAAUCCAUUCUCUCUCUCUUAAAAGACACUAAUAAUUAUUUGAUGUAUGUUUAUUAAUCUUUUAUAUAAAGUUUUAAAUAUUUAGUUCUUGAUUGCACCAUAUUUUGUAAAAAUCGUAAAUCUAAUCGACUUUUUCUUUGUUCUUUGUAUUAUGAAAAUAAUAUCCAUGUAGAAUAUAAUUUAUCCUUCUCCAUCACUAUAACUAUAAAUCGAUUAGCGUAGAUAUGAUAUUAUAAUUUAAAUACAAAAUUUAAAAUAUUAGUUUGAUGAUAGAUAAUAUACUUCACUUAAGAUUCCAAAAUUUUAUUCAGUAAAAUUUUAAAUAUAACUAUCAAUUAAGCAGUAAAUUUAUUUUAGAAAAAUAUUAAUCAUUUGAUUUAUUAAAUUUAUUAUUAUUUUUAUUGAGAUGAUGGAUCCAAAAAGGUUAAGAUUAAGGUCAACGUUGAAUCGAAAGAAAAAGAAAUGGAAGGAUGAGAUAAUGACACCAUUCACGCGUCCAAGGAAAAGCAUGAAAUCGGUUUGAAAGUUGCGAUCAUGCAAACGUCAACGCAAAGCUUGUCUCUCUGUCUUCAACCGAGCCGCCCAUCGAUUUGGAACACGGAAGCAACACUCGAGCCAAUUCCACACUUUUAAUCUAAUUUAAUUUAUUUAUUUUUAUCUCUCUCUCUCUCUCUCUCUAUAUAUAUAUAUAUAUAUAUAUAUAUAAAAUAGAAAUAUCAAAUAUUCUAUAGUAAAGAAACGGUCCAACCGGUGACUUGACCGCGUCGUAAAGACUAAGCAAAUGACGAACGGACACCUGCGAUCGCUACUGGCGAGCGGUGCAAAGUGCGAGCAGCGGGCCAGCGGUUGGGUUGGCGCAACAGCGAAAGGACGAACAGCUCGUGGAUUGCGGCGUGUGGGGACAGAGAAGUGCGUGGGUUCCACGCCUCGUGCUUCGCCCACCUUCUGCACCCCGUUCUUUGCGUCCCCCCCCCCUCCCAUUUGAUGUUAUUUAUUGCCCAGCCCGUGGAAAAGGAAGCGUUCGCACCGGUCGUUGCGGCGGUUGCAACUUCCCCUGCUUGCAACCGUCGCCACUUAAAUGCCGGCAUUCAUGGCGACCACGUGAGCCCGUUCCCCCCCCGCCGCAGGCUUCAAGACUCGUGCACUCGAAGCAGCUGGCUGCUUUAGAACCCCCGUCGGCGACGAGGAUCGGACGGUCGGAUCUCGCGGCGGAGGUGGAGACGCCGUCGCCCACGCGGAUUGCACCGGUGGGAGGGCGACAGGUGCGUGGCUGCAAUAAAUUCGUCCGCUCUUUAAAGACAGUCAACGCGGAACAGAGCCACGACAGGGAGAGCAGGACAGUGGCAGAGCAGUAGUUGCAUGCUCUGUCUUUCUCUCUCUCUUUCUUUCUACCCUCGCGAGGACGAAGAAGAGUCGAUUGGGAACGGAGACAGAUAAAUGAUAAGACUACUCAAUUACAUAAACUGUUAGGGAAAAUUUAGUAGGAUAAAAUUCUUUAAAAUAAAUUUAAUUAGAUCCUCCAAGCUCGAAUAUUGACGAUUAGCAGCAGCAGUCUGAAUCUAAUUACGAGUCUUGAAUGGAGAUGCGCCCACAAAUUAUGAUUGAAUAGUCAUAUGGUUGUAUGGUGGAAGUUUGAAUUGCCGACAUGAUAUAAAUUCCAGCGUUGUUUGACGUGUACAAGAACAGUGUCUGCAUAGUACAGAUUUUUAAUUCUGGAAUUAAGCGUGAUGGGUUUGGUGAUGCAUCGAACAGUGGAAUCGAAACGAUGGUGGUGGAGGAAAUGUGCAGUAAGACUACGACACUCGAUUAGGUGAAAUUGCUUACAUCUGUUCAUAUCGGAGGCCAAGUUUUCAACCGCAAUCGCGUGAGGAUGGUUGAGAUGAAGCCCUCGAGCUGAGGCUCCUCCAAGAACGCCAGGAACAAAAAAAGCUUUUUUUAUCGUCAACACAUCAUGAUUUCUGCGUGAUUCCUGACAUAUCGAGAUAAGAACAUCUCCAAAAGGAAUCGAGGGUAAUCGUGAGCCACGCACGGUGGAGCCCAAUCGCCACCCGACCUCUCACCUCUGCCUCGCUGUGGAAUUCUAACAUCAGCUUUGAAUGGACUUGAAAGACUUGUGUGACGAGUUGGGUGAUAGGUUUCCAUCACGCCCUGCUUUUCUCACAACACUCACAGGAAAGCAUGAGAAGCGAGACACGCUUUAUGACCACGGUCACAUGGACGAACAUAGCAACGAGGAACACCUUGACGACUAUAGAGGCUCGGCAUUAAUGAGGUGUUGGCACACCGAUGAUUUUAGGAGUGGUAAUAAUGCCAGCGAGAAUUCUAUCUCUACCUGUGCUGUCUUUCCAGAGCUUGUCUUGCAAGGAGCAAGGCACGUAGGGCCUUCAUAUCUCAAAACACAAUCUCUGGAUGCAUCUUGUCCUCGCAAAGUGAAGCAAGCAAACCCACCUGCACUGCAAUCAAUAAAUAGGGCAGGUUUAUGGAAGCAGAGUCCGCUGUCCAUUUAGAACUACUGCAGAUGGGAAGCUGUAGAAAUGAGGAAGAAGUGAAAGAGAGAGUCCUGUGUCUUUUUGAGUUAGAAGACACCAAUGGUGAUUUCAAGUAAAUGAUAAAGCUAAGAUGCAUAUAUUGUGAGUAAAGCAAAACUAUAAUAGAUUCACAUUUGUUGAAAGAUAUACAAAGCUAAACUCACUCAAAUAUUUUGCACAUCAAUAUGUUUUUUGUUUUUACAUUUACAACUCCAUUUCCAGUUCACUUAGCUUAGCUUGAACAGUUCAGUUCAUCAACAUGAUGUGCAAUGCUUGAAUCAUGUCAUUUUGGGCCAAUUCUUUCAGGAUUCAACAACACUUACAAGGCCUACCAAUUAUAAGCCUAAAAGAAGCCAACAAAUGGGCUUCUUUUCCAUAGGUUUUGUAUAUCUUUCAUUACAAAGUUGGGAAAUAAUUAGCCAACCCAAAUGCAAAGAAAAAAAAAAGGUUGGGAAAAGACAUAUUUUCCCCACCAAAUUUGGGUGGUUUUCUUAUAAAACACUCAUAUUUUGGGCAUUUCUCAAUUAGUAUCUUCUAUUUUUUUUAUUUUAUUUAGUUAAUUAAAAAAAUACGUAAAUUAAUUCUCAAACAAUUAUUAUAAAUGAUCUAAAUAAAUUUUUAAUCUCAACCAAAUUAAUUACAAGUAUAAAAAUAUGAUAUUAUAAUAGUUUAUGAGUAUUCGAUAUGAUGUCACUUAUAGUGUUUUUAAAUAGUGUAUAUAGUAUUUUUAUAUCUCAACAAAAUAUCAUAAAUGAUGUGAUCAUAUUUUUGGAAAAUAAUAAUUUACAUUGAUUUAAAUAAUAAUAAUAAUAUCUUUUCUUUCAUGGUACAUGAGCACACAGGCUGUGCCAAAUGAAUCCUCAAAUCAUCAUUCCCUUUUUUAGCACUAAUCUAAUCUUUCUUGAUGUUGCAACGCGACCUGACCGAGUCCAACAUCUUAUAACGUAAUGCUAAACCGAUCUACGACCUUCCGUUUCGGAUCAAACCGUCCAGAUUCGACCAAGUUUCUCCCGCAGAUCAAAUCCGAAAUCCAACGACAGAGAUCCGAUCACGAGAGUCCGGAUCUGAGGCAACCAUAUCGCCGCAGCCGCCGCCAUCUGUUUCGGGACCAGGAAUCAUAUAUUUGGCCCCACACAUUUUGCGGAACCCUAGGGGCAUUUUGGUAAUCGUGUCCUCCAUAAGUAUAGAUCGCUGGGGCUCCUCUCCCCUCCUCCCACCGCGACGGACGUGGUUGUAGCCGCCGCCGAUCUCUCUCUCUGCCGGACUUCUCUUCUCUGAUCUCUUUGGUAAAAGUUCUUCUGCUCCCCUUAUUUGAUCUCUUGUUGUCGUGCUUGCUAUGUCGAAGAGUCUCUCGUGAUGAUUGUUGUUUGAUUGAUUUCUUUUAAUCUGUCGAGGGUUGUUGUCUAAUUGAUUCAAAGCUUGAUUUUGUUGAUGAUACUUCAGUACGUUUUCUUUGUGUCAGCAGUUUAUUAACCGUGUUAUGUCUAUAGUUCUUGAUGUCGCAUCCUGGCGCUCCACGCGUUAUUGGGUGUUUGCGCAGGGUUUUGUGUCGUUAUCAGAAGAGAGAUCGAUUGCUACAUUGUCAGAUAUUGGUGCUUAGUCUUAGGAGUACAUGAUCCUGUCACAUUAUGUCAAAACAUAUUGAAGAUGGUGAAAACGUAACGUGGUGGUCGUAAUUCGCAUUGAUUUUACUCUUCUGACUGCGAAUUUUGCGUCACUAUGUUGUUGUCGUUGUCAUUAUUAUGUUGAUUUGAGCGAUUUUAAAUUAACAAGCCUAUCGCAUUUUGAGAGGGGCUCUCUGAUUGUCUACUAAAGGUUUUUCCUUGUAUACUGUGCUGGCAUGUAUGGACGACUCAAAAAAGAAAGUGUCCGUUCUUGUUUAUUUAAUAUUUUAUUCUGUAUACCUCUUGAACAAACUGCAUAACAUAUGGCUCUUGUGUAUGCAAUUAAUUUUUGAAUGUCUGAGAUUAGUGUGAUUAAUCUUUCUAUUCAAGACAAUUUCUGAUAAAUCAUAUCAAUUUAUUUGGGAGUGAUUAUAUCACCUUUGCUACAUGGAUUUCCUCCAUGCUUAAAUUUUUGGGUUGUGUUAUAUAUGAUUAGGUCUUAGAUUCAUGUUCAGUAAAAUGAAACAUUUUUCUUUACAAAAAAAACACAAUUAAACAUUGCAGUUGAUUUUCCUACUAGACGUCCUGCAUGGAUUAUUUUCUACUAUGGUGCAUGAAUUAUUUUCUGCUGUAUGAUAUUUGAAUUGUUUUCUUGUUUCUGUUGUGUGAAUUAUAUUUUACUUGGUAAAGUAGCAUCGACUUGUACUAGUUAUGGUGUAUUCAAAUUUAUGGUCGCUAGUGGAUGUGAUGUUGGAUGUCUUAUUCACUAGUUUAUGUUUUUGGUUAAGGGAUCAUGACUUUUAGAGUGCCUGAUGAUUCUUGUGCUUUUUUCUUGUAGCUUGCUAUGUGCAGUCGCAGACUUCAAUAGAACGAUUGUGAACUUUUGGAUAUUUAAAACUGGAGCAUCUUUUUGUUGGUUUUGCAAAUUAUAGCUUGAGUAGCUCUGAUAUUCCUGUUUAAUGCCGAUCUGAUAGAUACAAUUUUACUGUUGGCUAUUCUGCCACAUUAUUUUGGGCAUUUCAACUGUUAUAUCUAGUAUACCACUUUACAUCAAUCAGUCAUUUUAGUCGGAGGUAUUAUGAUGCUUUACAUUAAUACAAACAUACAUUGGAUGUCUUUAUUCACCAAGCCUUUUUUGGGAUAAUGGAGUACACAAGAUAGUGACAUUUUGGUUUUCUAUGCUUCUAGAUAUGUAUCAUUUGAAUUUGUAUUUAUUUUAAUAGCAGCCUUGAGUUUUUGUUGAGAUUGGACUGGGAGCUGCAUACUGAUUUAUACUAUUUAGUUUAUGUUUGCUAUAUACUAUUUCCUCUUCUCUAGUGCUUUCCAAAAUAUAGAAAGCUGAACAAUCUCAAGCGUCAUUUGGACCUGUAUCUAAUUUUAAGGGAACUGCAAAAGUUAAGAGUAGAUAUUUAGAGAUCAUUAGUGGAACUAAAGAUAGAAGUGGUUUUUCAUUUUAUCAUACACUGAUAAAUUUGAUUUUCCCCUGUCAUCACCAUAUUGAUUAUUUGGCCUUUUGCUGCAGCAUUCCAAUUGUCUAGUUAAUUUUUUUCUUUUCAUGGUUAAGAACAUGAUUUAUUGGUUGUCUCAGUCUAUCAUACUUGACUUUAUUUUGGACUUCUGAUCUCUAUAAAGUUUUUUUUAAUCUUAUUCUUUUAUAGCAGUUUUUUUUUCCUAUUUUUGUAAUGCUGUCAGAAACAUCCUACGUUUUCGUAUUUGCUACUAUGAUAAGCUUGCUGAUUUAUGUCUAUUGGAGAUAGGAAAUUAGAAAUGGGAAAGGAGAAGGUUCACAUUAACAUCGUGGUUAUUGGCCAUGUCGACUCUGGAAAAUCAACCACAACUGGACAUUUGAUUUACAAACUUGGAGGGAUUGAUAAGCGUGUUAUUGAGAGGUUUGAGAAGGAAGCUGCUGAGAUGAACAAGAGGUCAUUCAAGUAUGCCUGGGUUCUUGACAAGUUAAAGGCUGAGCGUGAGCGUGGUAUCACUAUUGAUAUUGCCCUUUGGAAGUUUGAGACUACAAAGUACUACUGCACCGUCAUUGAUGCUCCUGGACAUCGUGAUUUCAUCAAGAACAUGAUUACUGGAACUUCUCAGGCUGAUUGUGCUGUCCUUAUUAUUGAUUCUACAACUGGUGGUUUCGAAGCUGGAAUUUCCAAGGAUGGACAGACUCGUGAACAUGCACUUCUAGCUUUCACUCUUGGUGUUAAACAGAUGAUUUGUUGCUGCAACAAGGUGGGAUUUUUUGCAUGAUUGCUUCUUAAGGUGCAUGACUUUGGUCUUCAGGUAAUUUUUUUUACUAAACAUAUGUUUUGUUUCUAAUAGAUGGAUGCCACUACACCUAAAUACUCAAAGGCACGGUAUGAUGAAAUCAUCAAGGAGGUCUCAUCUUAUCUCAAGAAGGUUGGUUACAAUCCUGACAAGAUCCCAUUCGUGCCAAUUUCUGGUUUCGAAGGUGAUAAUAUGAUUGAGAGAUCCACCAAUCUUGACUGGUACAAAGGCCCAACUCUUUUGGAUGCUCUUGACAUGAUCCAAGAGCCCAAACGUCCGUCCGACAAGCCUCUCCGGCUCCCUCUGCAGGAUGUCUACAAGAUUGGAGGGAUUGGAACCGUGCCUGUAGGUCGUGUUGAGACUGGAACCUUAAAGCCUGGUAUGGUUGUUACCUUUGGUCCUACAGGCCUUACUACUGAAGUUAAGUCUGUGGAAAUGCACCAUGAGGCUCUCCAGGAGGCUCUUCCUGGUGACAAUGUUGGUUUCAAUGUCAAGAACGUUGCUGUGAAGGACCUCAAGCGUGGUUUUGUUGCCUCAAACUCCAAGGACGACCCGGCAAAGGAGGCUGCCAACUUCACCUCGCAAGUUAUCAUCAUGAACCAUCCAGGUCAAAUUGGGAACGGUUAUGCUCCUGUCCUCGAUUGUCACACCUCCCACAUUGCUGUCAAGUUUGCAGAGCUUGUGACUAAGAUUGACAGGCGAUCCGGCAAGGAGCUGGAGAAGGAACCCAAGUUCCUCAAGAAUGGAGAUGCAGGUUUCGUGAAGAUGGUUCCUACAAAGCCAAUGGUUGUCGAGACUUUUUCUACCUACCCACCUCUGGGUAGGUUUGCUGUCAGAGACAUGAGACAGACAGUUGCUGUUGGUGUCAUCAAGAGUGUGGAGAAGAAGGAUCCUACUGGAGCCAAGGUUACCAAAGCUGCUCAAAAGAAGAAAUGAACCGAGGAGAAUUCUGCAUUGGUCUUGUUUGGUGUCAGCAACAAUUUUAAUAUGCAUCCUUCUUGUCAGCUUUACGAGUCUAUAGGUUUGGUAUCUGGUGCGUCGAUGCAGAACUGGGUGCUCGAUAGGCGGUGGCAGUGUUGCAUUUAAGGUGCCUGUUCUAGCAAGUUUUUUUUUCCUUUUUUGAGCGGUCUCUCUCUAUAUUUUAAACUGGUACUUGAAGCGAAUUUGAGUUGUUUGGAUUCGACAAUAGUGGGUCUAGUUUGAUUCUGGUAUUUGACUUUAUAAAUCAGUACUUGGAUUUAUUAUAUUUGUUCAUCGAAUCUUGAUAAUUGCUCUAUGAAGUUUGUUUCUUUAUCUCGGCUGUUGUAUGAUCCUGGUAUUUUAUGUACGUUCGACAUUAUGGAUAUACCUCCAAAAUCUUGGAAUCGGAAUCUGAAUCUGAGUUAGAAUCGGAAUCAUCCGUUUUGAUUUUUAUAAAUCAAGAUUCAUAAUCCAACCGACCGGAUUUGGCCACUGGAUCGGUUCUCAUUUCAAUCUUAAUCCUCCAUCUGUUCUAAAUAUAAUAAUAUAAUAAAUAACUAAUUAAUCUAAAUGGACGGGUUCAGCCGCGACCCUUUUUACCGUGGAUCGCACGGUAAGAAUUUGCACUGGGGGACUUCCCAUGCCGUACCCAUUGGCACAGGAAUGAAGACGUUGUCCGUCUUCCAUGUCCUCUAUUGGGACGUGGGGUUCUCUGAUAUGUCGCAUGCAUGUCUUCGUUGGUGCAAUCAGCAAGGGGACCUCGAGAGCCACUUGUUCCAUGCCAGAUCAUCGUAUAUUGGUAAGAUCCUCGACAUCUGUCUCGCAUGCAUGCCUCCUUCAUAACUCGUUUGGCCAUACGCACCCCCAACCGAUCCGUUUACGCUACGGGCAAACAUCAACAAAUAUUGGCUUUCAGAUUCCAAUCCGUCCAGCAAUGGCACGUAUUCUGCAUCGUAUUCCUUAAACAAAUCCAUGGUGACCUUUGGGCUGUCCAAAGGAUGAGUUCUCUUGUCAGUUCAUGUCGGAACCGCCUUUAUAUGAUUUACCUUAUCGCGGACUGCACUCCAGAGGCAUCUUCACGGUGACCUUCUAUGGUGGUGCAAUGGAUCCCUCGGCUCCACCAAAUCAUGGUCCAACUGCUGCCACCACCCAAAUCGAAGAGGCUGUUGUCGUCGUUCUCGCCGAGGAGGAGGACGACGACGAUGGUAAUGGCAGCGAGAAUGAAGGAAUCAUCGAUGUGGCCGAGGUCGAGAAGCGGAUGUGGAAGGACAAGCUGCUGCUGACGAAGCUGAAGCAGCGGAGGGGGCAGCAGCAAGGCGGCUUCUCCGGUGCUCUGGUGGAGCCCCUGGCUAAGGAGCGGUCGCGGCGGCGGGCGAUGGCCCGAGCCCAGGACGGGGUCCUGCGGUGCAUGCUCAAGAUGAUGCAACACUGCAGCGCCCGUGGGUUCGUGUACGGUAUCGUGCCGGAGCGGGGGGACCCGGUGACAGGGUCGUCGGAGAACCUCAAGUCCUGGUGGAAAGACUCCGUCGCGUUCGACCGCAAUGCCCCGGCGGCCAUCGCCCAGUCCACGCUCGCCCAACCGAACGAACUGGUUCUGACCUCUUACAUCGAUCGCCUGCGUAUGUUACAGGACAGCACGCUCGGCUCGCUCCUCUCCGCGCUCAUCCAGCACUGCGAACCGCCGCAGCGGAGGUUCCCCUUGGAGAGGGGGCUGCCGCCUCCCUGGUGGCCGACCGGGGAGGAGCCAUGGUGGGGGGUGCAAGGCGAGGCCCACGCUCAGGGGCCUCCGCCCUACAGGAAGCCGCAUGACCUCAAGAAAGCUUGGAAGCUGAGCCUACUGACCGCCGUCAUCAAGCACAUGAGUCCAAACCUGGGCCACAUGAGGAAUCUGGUCUGGCAGUCGAAGAGGUUGCAGAACAAGAUGACCGCCAAGGAGAGCGAGGUGUGGUCGAAGAUGGUGAACCAGGAAGAAGCUCUCCUGCAGCUUGCCAACCGCUCCCUCAGGAUCUCCCCCAUUCCCGAAGAUGAAGCGGCCGGCAAUUCUGCGGCCGAGAAGGGCCCGGACGGCCGCAGGAACGACGACAAGAGGAAGUGCGAGUUCGGCGACAACUCGAGGGAGAAAUGCUCGAGAGCCGAGUUGCAGAACGUGGAUGGUAGUGGGGAGUUUGAACUCGAUUUAUCGGGGAAUUGUGUGCUCGAAGAUGAUCGGAGAGCGAUCGACGAGCUCAUGAUGCUCUACUACAGCGCUCGAGACUUCACUCGGCUAGUGUGAUGGCAGAGCUGGUGGGAUGAGUGAGAUCGAGCAUCGCGUGGCGUGACUAAUGUGGCGAAUGAAAUGAAAGAUGAGAAGCAUUCGCGUGCCAGUAGUAAUCCUUUUCUUCCUGUUUUUGCUUAUAAAAAUAGCUUCUCGCCAUCUUGUAGAACUAUUCUAGUGUUUGCACUAUGUAUGUAUAUAUGUAUGUAUGUAUGUAUGUAUAAAGAGUUUGCAUGAAAAUAUCAGGUAGUCAACUGCUUAAAGAUCUUACUAUGCAUCAAGGAAAGCAUGCGUGUGCAUACGUAUGGACGAUCACACGCCCAGUGCUCCAAGUGGAGUCUUGCUUUGGCCAGCCUCGAAGUAGAAGACGAGCAUGGCAAGCAUAGCAAUCCGUGCGUGCUUGAUCUCCGCCACCUUGAGCCGCUCGUGCUUCUCGACGUCCGGCACGUACACGCCGUCCCUGAGCGUGCCGGCGAAGCACAGGGGGUCGAAGAACUUGCCCCCCGGGUAGCCCUGCUCGCCGGUGGCGUUGGCAAAGUUCUCGGCCGUGCGAUACCAAGGGGUAGCCCAUUCCACCGACUGCGACUCCAGGUUGAAGAAGUCCACCCACCGCUUCGACUCCACCCGUCCCAUGAAGAUGAGCUGCAUGCCGAGGAGGGAGCCGAAGGAGAAGGGCGCGAUGGCGCCGAGGUCGGCACCCGCCUCGAACCAAGGCACGCCGCUCCACGCCUGCCCGAUGAAGAUACCCACCACCGCCGCCAUCGCUCUCGGUACCACUUGAGGAACGCUGGGUCCUUCCCCAGGCCUAGUGGGUCUAACCCAUAGUCACCCGGCAGCCUGCAUGGGGAAACAAGACGGUGUGAAGAGGGGAAUAGAGAGGUUGCAUGUCGAGUGAUUGAAGAGGAGGAAGGGGCUUACGAUCCAUAUGAUUUACGUUUAAGGCAUGUUAAUCAUGCAAUAUUUGGUCAAUCUGCUUGCAUUUCUUUUCUGAGAUGAGUUACACCACUAAGGAGUAUGUUUCAUUGGAGAUCUCAGCGCAUGCAAUUAAUAUCCAUUGAUAUCAUGUAUCAAGAAUUGUUUUCCUCACCAAACUUGUAUUCUUGAAAAGAUAGUAAAACAAGAACGAUGAACAGUCAACAACCAAAUCUCCGCCGGUAAAAGAGAAUUUUCUGAAUGAAACCUUUUCUUUGAUGAGAAAUUGGUGCUCCAUAAUGUCCCUGAAAUGUGUAACAUGUUGUUUCUUUCCAGGCAAGAACACAAGCAGCUAUCAGUUUUGGAUAGGAUAGAAUAAAGUCAUCUUUGGUACUCUUCCACAUUAGAUGUAGGAAGAACAAUCAAGUCAUCUUUCAUUACCAGGAUAGGUCUCUACCGGGAUGAACCUCAUGUGCAUCAGACACUCACACAGCGUGUCUACAAAGGAGAAAACAGAACACAUAAUCCUCGUCGAUGUAAGUAAAACUUCUCUGCGGUGGUUCGUCCAUGGUUGAUGAUGAAAUAGAAUGGUGCUCACGCAAUCUCUCUCAACAUUCAAAGAGUAGAGUCGCCUGAGUUCUGCAACAGUCCGGGAAACACAAGUGUGAUCUGAGGACCACAUCACAAUCAUUUUGGAGGUAGCACUAAAAGAUCCUUACACCUUCUCUUUUAAGCUUCGCAUCUUUGCCUGUCAUUCUGUUUACUCGGGCCCAAGAGUUUGAUUCCUCUCGAUCAGCACAUGCCCUACUGUUGGGUGCCAGGAAUGGAAUUUAUUCUCCAUGUAAAGAGGAAAGCCCAAAGCUCCAUGGUUUCUGCACUUCAAUCACCCAUGAAGUAUAUUUCUUCUGUAGCACAACCCAUAAAGUUUCCACCUUAACAAUGUCGUCGCUUUGGAGCGUUGAAUCAGUACUGUUCUUCCGUCCGGUUUUCAAAUUUACCUACAAGUUGGCUUGAUAAAAAGUGUCAUCGUUCAUUGUUACUACAGUCAUUCUGGCAACAAUGAUUUCUGAUGGUCACUUUGUUGUUGUCUUCUUGAUCAUGAAAAGCACUCUUUUUUGAGAGAAGAUAUGUCGAAUGCCUCUUAUAAUGGUUAUGAAACUUAUAGCCACAAGAAAGGCUAUUAUGCCUUCAUCUCACUCGAGUUGUGUUAGUGGGUAAGCAAAAGAUGAGCCUUUUAUGUCCUUAAAUCUCCUCGCUCGCACUUCCAUCCCUCUCUAUGCUUGCGCUUGUUCAGAAGAAGGCAGCAGUAUUCAUGAUUCGUAUGGCCCCUGUAGCGAUCAUUUGCAAGCGAGCAUGGCUUCAGUUACAGAGAUAGAUGCCCAUAAAGACUUGAACCUCAUCUCAUCGCUAACUGGUUUCACAAGUGAGAUUUGGCUUACAUAUAAUAAUACUAUAUGACUCCACAUUCAUACUACUUGAUAACACCCACUCCCAUGCAAAGCCACAGAGAAGAAAGAACAUCACCCUCAUUCUACUUAGAAACAUAUAGAUCUGAGUUUCUUCACAUGAUGGAGCAGGCAUUUGGAUUGUCAUCACUGAACAAGUUGGUAAGCAGGUCAUCUUGUCUGAGUGGUUGGCUGGACACAGUGACCACCUCCACAUUCCUGACAUACCCGGGGGGUGCCUUCUUGUCAUAGAUCUGAGCACCGUGAGGGUGAGUGACAAGGUUGUAGGGAACAUAAGGCCAGAUCUCAACUCUCUUGCCCGUGGAUCGAACCUUCUUCAGGACUUUGUGUUGCUCGACGUAGCCAGUCACAGUCACUUUAUUCUGCUUUCUGUUGAUGUCCACCGACUGAACUCCUAUAACAAGGCCAUGAGGUGUGGAUCAGGAGAAGACGAGUGUCAAGCCAUCGGUAUGGGAGAAGAAGAGGACUUUCACCUGUGACGGAGGAGAUGGCAUUCCUGACUUUGAGUUCACAGCCCUCGCAGUCCAUCCUGACCUUGAGCUCCACCGUCUGCAACUGCUUCCUGUUUGCGUACUGGUGGCCGCCACACAGGAAGCCACAGAUGUAAUCUCCCAUGAUGCUUGCUUCCGGCUGAUAACGAGGUAGAAAGAGGAGACGGAUACAAUAUAACCCGUAACAAGAUAGUUUCGAAGUACGAGAGGGAAGGAAGAGAAACAAAAGACGGAAGUGAGACUGUGACCGACGUUGCUGCCACUGAAGCAGCAGCCUCCUGGAAGAUGAAGAAAAGGUGUUUGUUUAGCUGCUUUAGCUCACUGGCAUUGCUCUUUUGUUCUCUCAUUCAGUGUUCCAUAAAGGCUCUCCGACCGUGCUUAUAUAGACGACCUUCGCAGCACAUGCACUCAACUCCCAAAGUUCCAAAAGGGAGCGGAGAAGGGGGGGGGAGAAAGAAAAAAGAAAGGUGCAGAAAAGAGCAGCACUGUUACAGGGAAAAAGCCUCAGAAUAACACAGGCUGUUGUUGUUGGUAAGAGGCGAGCAAGUCCCCGAACUGCAAGCAGCCAUUGGGAGGAACAUUUGGAAGAAUCUAAUGAUCAAGGAAGGUAGUGUAGAUGGAUGAACCACCAGCGAGCGAAACCCACAACUUGUACUGAGAUUUUGGGUCUAUUUUGGGAUGACUCCAAACCCCAAAAUAGACCCAAAAUAUAUAAGAUGACUCCAAACCCCAACUAUAUAAGAUGACUCCAAACCCCAAAAUAGACCCAAAAUAUCAACAGCCUUCCCAAUCGAGCCCAUCUUCGCUCAGCGUCCGCUGCUAACUAGUCGAACGAAUGUCGUGGCUUCCUAGUCGAGCCCUUCUUCUUCCCUCCCUUCGCUAUAGCCAUUGCACUUCCCCUGUGAGUCAUCUUCACCUCCUCUGCUCUCACUACAAACAUAGCUGCAUAGAGGAUAGGGUUUUUAGCAAGGACCCUCGAUGCUCCCAUAACCUUCUUCUUCCCCGCUAGCUAGCGCACCACCCCUCAUCGCCCCCGGCCAGGAUCGCUAACGCCCAUCCCAAUCACGUGGUUGUUAGCAUCCCAUAUCGUCGCAACCGCACAAUCACCUCCCAACAACUACAGCGAGCCAUCAACGAUGCUACCUCCCAGCCCACAUCAUUGCCUCCCAACCCUCAGUAGUAACGAUCCCUCCACACUGCGACUGUAGUGAGUAUCGUUGCCACCGUCAAAGCUCGCCAACCCUGUACUAUGACAGCUACAAUCUCAUUUGUAUGUUUACAUGAGAAAAAAAUCAGUAGGGAGAAUCGUCGAAUAUAAAUGAUAACAAAUAGAUGAUCAAUAAACCACCCGCCUCAUCUAUUCUCAAUCAAAACCCUAACAUCCGAAGACUAAUCCAAGAAAAACACAAGAAAAGAUUAGUGAAGGAUUUGUGCUGACACUAUAAUGAAAAGUGGAGUAAGGAGCACCAAUGCAAACAAUGACAACUUCAGGCUUAGACCAUAAUUUCAAUACAAAUGCAUUUAAUGAUAUCCAUGAUUCUGUCCUUAUCCAUACUCUAUUUUAAUAUAUCCCAAUCAUUUAAAUGACAAUUCAGCUAUGACAAUUAACCAAAAGAAUAACAUAAAAGCUCGAGAAUGAAUGAUUUUGACUGCCUUUCUUAAGUAAUGACUCGUACCCGUUCACAUUGGUACGAAAAAUUCGACGACGUUCGUGGCACAAAAAGAUGUUUUACUCUUAAGAAGUUCCUUAUGGAGAAUUUAAAUUGUCACAAAUUUAAGAUGAUUUAAUAGCGCAAUCAGUAAAAUUUGUUGUAAAAUAAAUAAAUAAAUAAAUAAAAGAAUCUCAAAAUCAUCAUGAAUGUUCUACAACAAGAAACUCCUGGAGAAUUUAUAAUGUCACAAAAUUUGAGAUGAUUAAAUAGUGCAGUCAGUAUGAACUUGAUCAUUUUAAAUUAAAAUUUAAAUUUCAAGUAACAACGUGUGGCAUUCCCUGCACAGCGGCAACAUAGGAAUCAUAGAGAGAAGUAAAUUUCUCCUUGUGCCGGAAAAGAUAUUUCUUUCUGAACUUCUCCUCAGAUAGUAGUAUGAAGGAUAGUAGACUAUGUCCUUCAUCCAGCAAUUUAUUCUGCUUAAGAAAAUUCAUAACCUCAUAUCGAGGUCUCAGCCUCUUAUCCAAACUGAGUGUAAGAAUCACGGGACGACGAAUGACAGAUGUCAGCUCAAAACCAGCUUCCUUCAUCAGGAAUGUCAUCUUGUCACAUAUGGUCUUCUUUGAGAGUGCCCAAAUGUAUGGGCACUUCCUGAAUGCAGCAACGAUGUCAGGCUGGGAACACCCAAAGCUCAUCAGAGUCGCACUGAUAGCAUCAAAACUAGAUUUGUUCACGCUCAUGACUACACGAAGUGCACACAUAUAUACUCCAGAGUCACGUGGGACACCCAAUUCCUCAAUAUAUUUGAUAACCUCCUUUAAUUUGUCUAGUCGACCAAAACAGCCUGGCAAUGUCGCCACCAUAUGCAUGAUACGCUUGUCACUGAUGCCAUGUUCCCUCAAGAGAGAUAUAUUGGGUUCUAUCGUCCGAGCCAAGCUAUAACUAAGAAUAAACAUGUUCCUCUUGCAGGCUUUCAGAAGCCUCUCAUUCGAACCUAAUAGUGACCUCCAGAAGUUGAUCCUCGGUUUGAUGUCACGAAAUAGGAGCGCAUGAGGACAUAAUGAAACCAGCUGAACUAUUUCAGUGUCAGAAAAUCCCAUGUCCUGCAAAGAUCUCAUCCUGGGCUUCAGGGCAGUCUCUACAUUAGCAUGCAGCAACUGGGGUGACCUCUUGGUAAGCUUCAUAACUUGUGCAUCACUCCAACCGCUCUGCUUAAAGAACUCAAUGGAAGGACUUGAACUUGGAAGUUUUUUUUCACAGAUGCGACCCUCGGCCAUUUUUGCAGCCUCUUUUGAGGAAAGUUCACAUGACUGAAGGGGUUCGACCAACAUAAAUUUGGAUCUAUGAUUUGAACUGUGGUCUUCGGGAGUGGAAAAGCUAAAGAGACUGCAGAGUUGAUAGGAGGAAAGAUGGAUGGUGGGCUUGUUACACGAGAGAAGGCAAAAAAGCCUCUUCUGCACCAAAAACAUUGUCUUUUGAGGCAGUAUCACGUACUGUUUGCAGAAAAAUACAAGAAAAGUAGUCUUAUUUCGGCCCUCUCCAAUCCAAAUUCCUCCUCUGCCUCAAAUCAAGGAUGUUGAAAACUUUCAACUAAUCAUCUGUCUCAGACAACAUUCCUCCACCACUCAUGUUAAUCCACAUGCAUUCAGUUCCAAUCAGCCAUUUCUUUCAGAGAUAAGUCUCUGAAUGGUGUUUGCGAGUUGACAAAGAGUACCUAUGAUUAGUUACCCAUUCUCAUGCUCACAUCCAAGCAAUUCUCCACCACUGAAAUAAUGGCUUCAAAUAACACCUGCGCACUGACACUAAAUUCCACUUAUUUUUCUAUUGUAGUUGGUGGGUUUAGACACUACCAAGCGUCCUAUAUCCCUGUAGCAAAUUAAAAACCAUAUAAAUAGUAUUUUCAUCAAAUAUAUAAGAGUAUACUCAUGUUUAUACUAAUAGGUUGAACAUCAAUAACUUGCAAAGGGUACUACAGAAUUCAGAAUAACUGGAAUAUUAAUAAUGUUUUCUCUAACAUCGGAUUCACUAAUGUCCGACGACUAAAACCUGAAACAUUUCAAAUCAGCACUUCCAGAGUAAUUGAUCCAUUUCAUCAAGAAUGCCAAGAGAUGAUCUAGUUAUAAGUCUAGCAAAACUGGUAAGUAGAAAAGACACUGUUUAAUUAAUCAAUAACAGUAAUUUGUGAGGUUCAACAUGCUAAAAAAUGCAUUGCUGAUGAAGAUGUGCAACUCGACAAAAGAAAACAACAUAGCUGGAAGACCAGAGAAAGGCAAUAAAUUUUCUGAAAAAUGAAUAAAGGGAUAAGAAAACAGCCUCAAUCAAGAAAUGCUACAGUUUAUUUGGCUCUAUGCUGAUAAAGGAACUUAAUUUAUCAGAAACAUGCUCAUGUAAACAACUUCAACUACAGUAAAAACAUUAUAUGUAGCCUCUGCUACAUAUCAUAAAUGAAGAGAAAAAGCCAAGAUCAGUGAGUUGCCAAUAAAACCAGCACGUACAAACAACCACAAGAAUUACAAAAGCCAUGAUGUCCAAACUAUUCACGGUCAGCCAUAUGGAUCUUUUGCAUCAUUGAACUCUGUGUAAGAAAAUAUCUGUAGUUAAAUUAAGAGCAUUCAAAUCUCUUUCUAUUGUUACCAGUAAAGUCCCCUUCAAAUCUCCAACUAAACCAGCAAAUACAAGAUUUGACAAUUCAAAUGUAAGCAGGCCUGUGUGUUUUGAGGCACGAACAAGUCUCAAGUAGUGAAGAUAGUUGCUUUCAGCACUACAGCAGAGAACACACUAUGUUGACAUAAAGGUGUAAGGUUAUACCUAACCAAAUACAUUGAGAUUUUGGGUCUAUUUUGGGGUUUGGAGAUCACAUCAAAUUCUAGUUGUUUACUCAGCUUGUACCUUAGUGUGAGUCAGGUCCUUUGGAGCAUUUGGGGUUUUGUGUUGAAAUUUUCCGGUAUGGCCUGUAAAGACAAAGCAGUGGACAGUAUAAGAAAACUAAGAGGCUUGAUGAACCAAACACUUCAUCAAAAUAAGCAGUUGCUGUUGAGAGAGCUUCUUUUGGGAAACCUGGUAAGAUUAGUACUACUGAGAUGUAUUUUGUAUUAUAAUGCUUCACAUGAGGAAUAGUCAGGCUAGUGUAUGAUUCUAUUAACAAAUAAGUAUAGUUUUCUUUGACCAGUGACCCAAUUAUUGGCUCUGCUAUCUCUUGUUCUAUCUUUUCCAUGCGUUUUAUUUUUUUAGGACUUCCCCAGUUCUCUUUGCUCUAUCUAAAAGCAGCACUUUUGCUGUCUAGCUUAACAACAGUAUUUAACUUGCAUUCUGCAACUUCUUAUUUCUUUAAAGUAAAUGCGCAUGCAUACACGAUAUGCAUGCAUUUUUGCAACAUUGAACAUUUGAGAUUGAUAAAAUUUAUAUUAUUAGGUCAGUUCUAAACCAACUCAUAUCCGAGGGCUGGAAAUUAAUUGUCACUUGCCACUAAAUACACAUCUUUGGAAAUGUUUUAAUAUAAGAAAAUUUAUAAGACUGAGCACCAUGUUUGACCACAGUAUCUAGAUAACGAUCAAGUUAAGCGAAUUUAGAUAAAUAUUAGCCAAAAUUAUUUUUUAUGACCUCCAGUAUAAGUUACAAUGAUUGUGGACACUCUUAAUGAGUCUAACUUUGCCAAUAGAGAAGUAAGAGGCUGCUUCUUACGGAUCAUACCAGUACGAUCCAACAAGUACUGGGUAAGUCAGGAUUCAGAGCAAAGUCCAAAAAAGGUUUGCCAAAUUUAGAAUUCCAAAUUCGUAUAUUUUGUGAAUAUGGUUCCUUAUAUUUAGUCCAAAGUUUAAGGUUAGUCCACUUAUGGAUAUGCACUAUAUACAUCGCAGAUUUUACCCUUAUGCCUACUACAGAUUUCGAUUUGUAAUUUUAUGAUUUAUAUUUUUAUCGUAUGUAAAUUAGUCAGGGAUUGAUAUAUAUAAGGAUUUACUAAAAACAAGGGGAAAGAAAUGUCAGGAACAGUUAUGGAAACUACUUGCAGUUUUAAAACGCAUUUAUUGUGCUGUAAUGGUUCAAAAAGUCAUAACUCUUAGGAUAACUGAAAGGAUGUUUUAGCAUCCUUUCAAUGUCUAAAUAAACUCCGCUAUAUUGAAGAGUAAAGCAAUAAGAAAAUUCUAGUGCAAACAAAGCACUGAAUUCUACCGUUCUGUUUAUUUUCUAGUUGAGUUUUGAUUCUUCAAGUAAUCAAGAAGUGCAAUCUUGAUUAUUUCAGGUAAUAGGCAUUGUAUCCUUAGAGAUAGAAUUUCUGUGAAGCCAUCUGCAUUGUAGUGGGAAAAUUAUCUAUCUCGAAGAUAGUUUCCUAGAAAUGCCUUGCCUAAUUUUGUUUUGUUCAAGUUUUACUCAGAGCUAUAUUUCUACUACAACAACUGUACCAAUGUUCAAGAACAAAACAAGAUAAUUCAUGUCAUAGGAAAUUUGAAAUGUCAGAUAAAAUUAUUUUGAAUACCAAAAUGACUAAUGUUUCAACAAUGUAAAAAUGAAACCACAGUUUAUUAUGACUGCCAAGGCACAUAUCUACCAUCUCAUUGCGAAGAAAUGAAAAUGAGAAAAAAGGCACAGCAAAAUAUAAAAUCACGUCUAUGGAUGAAGAAAUCCAUAGCCAUGCGCAACAAAAAAGAACUAAGAGCUUCGAUGUAAUGAGCAGAGCAUGAAGAUACAGUGACAGCUCCUAAUAGCUUCUAGUACCUAAGUGCCCUCUCCAAAUCCCAUUAAUGAUGGCACCCCUUAGCCUCAAAAUUGAAUAUAUAAAUGCAUUCUCUAUGUGUAAUUAGUAAAUACGUGUGAAAAGGGGUCCAACAUUUCAUUACUGUGGUUCAAAGCAAGACGCCAGAACCAGCAUGCAUGUGACGAAGUUAUCCCAAGGGCAAAAAAUAGACAAGAAACAUGAGCUAUGCUCCCAUGUGUGGUUCCAUCUGAUGACUAAAGUAUGCAUAUUAUUAUGUCUAAGCAACAAAUAGGUAUCGAUUCAUAUUACAAAAUUAUUUGAUGUUCAUAACCGUUUGAGAACCGACUUAUGCGGCAAGCAACAAGAAAUUAAUAAAGGAUCAAAAGAUUAAAUAAAAUAGCAUGUAUUCCAAUGUGUAUAGGCACGGUCAGAUAUUAUGCAUCAGGGACUCAUUACAAAUUACCCCACGUAGUUAGCUACCUUUAGCAUCCUCGUCCCUACAUUUUAAAAGGUUAUAUUGGCAUCCCUAUAAUUACGAAAGUGAAACAUUUAAGCCCAUUUACCAUUACAACAUCGGUUUUCCUAACGAAAAUACGAAAACAAAAGGCAAAAAGAUUAUUUUAACAUUCCAAUUUGUAGCGGCAAACAACGUUGGUGGUGCCAGAUGACAGCGCCGCUGGGUGCCACGGGUGACUAUUAUGGAUGAGGAGAGCAGCAACGAGAGGUAAAGGCCGCUCUACAUCUGAUGUAGUUGUCGAUUGACGAGAGGGCCAUUGAUGCAAAUGUCGAGCGGCGCCGCUUAGCGUCAACAUCGACGCAGUUGCCGAGCGGCACCCUUCGACAUUUAUAUCGACCCUUUCAUCGCUCAACAACUACAUCGACGCAGAUGCAGAUGCAUCUAAAUCAGCGUCGAUGUAGUUGUCGAGCGACGAGAGGGCUACUGAUGCAAAUGUCAGGCGGCACUGCUCAACGUCGACAUUGAUGCAGUUGUCGAGCGACACCCUUUGACGCCGAUGUAGAUGCAAAGCGGCUAUUACCUCUCGCCGUCGCACUCCUUACCUACAACAGCCACCCACGGCCCUAGUGACACCGUCGUCCACAACCACCGACUUUAUCGGCUACAACUAAAUGAAAUAUUAAAAUUAUCUUUUUGCCUUUUAUUUUCAUAUUUUUGUUGGUAAAAAUGACAAGUUAGAGUAAAUAAACCUAGAUAUUGUACUUUUGUAACACUAGGGAUGCCAAUGUAAUUUUUUAAAAUGUAGGGAGCAGGAUGUUAAACCUAGAUAUUGCACUUACGCAAGAUAGGGAGUAGGAACUGAGGAUGCCUAGGUCUCUCCAAUAGGAGAGGGGAAGAAACAUUGCAAAGGAGGUGAGUCACACGAGGGUGGGGAUCAAAUUGCUUGUCUUAAUGGACCCAACAGGGGUUCAAUUUAGGUGCAACACCACUCGGGCGUGUGAGUGGGCUGCCCAGCGCCCAACCGGUGCUCACCUAAGCGUCGCACGAGUGAAAACGCCCGCGUGAUGUGCACGACAUGGUGCUCAGGCAUCGCCUCACCCGAGCGAUUAGGCAAGAGCCAAGCACCUAGUGUUUAGGUUAGAUAGAACUAAGGAGAUCUAACUUGAAUCUCACGACAUUUAAAAAAUAGAUAUACAACCAAUGUAGCUCAUAUUCAAUAAUCUUUCUGGGCCUAUGAUGAAUUUGGUUCAGAUCAGUGAGAAUAUGCCAAUAAAACCAACAAGUACAAACGACCACAAUGGUAACAAAAGCCAUGAGGUCCAAACUAUUUAUCAUCAUCCAUAUGGAUCUUUUGUAUCUUUGAACUCUGUGUAAGAAAAUAUCUGUAGUUAAAUUAAGAGCAUUAAAAUAUCUUUCUAUCGUUACCAGUAAAAUCUCCUUCAAUCACCAACAAAACCAGCGAAUACAAGAUUUGACAAUCCAAAUAUAAGCAUGACUGUGUGUUUUGAGGUAUGAACAAGCCUCAAGUAACGAAGAUAGCUGCUUUCAGCACUACGGCAGAGAACAAACUAUGCUGACAUAAAGGUGUAAGUUUAUACCUGACCAAAUACAUUGAGAUUUUAGGGUUUGGAAAUCAAGUCAAAAUCUAGUUGUUUACUCAAGUUGUGCUUUAGGGUGAGUCGAGUCCUUUGUAUCAUUUGGGGUUUUGUGUUGUUCUGGUGUGCUUGAAAAGGAAACUACAAUGCAGUAAACAUGAUAAGAAAACUAAGAGGUUUGAUGAACCAAACACUUCAUCAAAAUAAAUAGUUGCUGUUGAGAUAGUUUCUUUUGGGAAACCUAGUUAGAUUAGUAUUAUCUUAGGUAUAUUUUUAAUUAAAAUGCUUCACAUGAGGAAUAGUCAGACUUUUGCAUGUUUCUAUUGACAAAUGAUUAUGAUUUUCUUUGCACAGUGACCCGAUUAUUGUCUCUGCUAUCUCUUUUUCUAACCUUUCCAUGCUUUUUUGUCACUAAGACUUCCCCAAUCCUCUUUGCUCUCUCUAAAAGCAUCACUUCUCCUGCCGUCUAUCUUAACAACAGUAUUCAACUUGCAUACAGUGACAUGCUAUUUCUUUAAAGUAAAUGCUUAUGACAUGCUGCUGACUGCUUGUUGUGAGGGUAGCGGGUAACUAUCAGGGAGUAGGAAAGGGAAGGGGAAGAUGUAUAGAGAAGGUGAAGAGGAGUGUAGACGAGGGAGAUGGGGGCUGUCGGGGCUGGAGUAGGAAAAUGGAGAUGGGGGCUGUCGGGGCCGGAGCAGGAUAAUGGAGAGGGGGCUGUCGAGCCCGGAGUAGGAAAAUGGAGAGGGGGCUAUUGGGGUCGGAGGAUGGUGAAGGUGGCUGCCGGGGUCGACGGGGGACGGGGGCUGUGAUGAAGUGGAGGAGGUGGGAGGGACCAAGGAAGAGGGGCGGGGGGCUGCGAUGAACGGGGGAAAGAGGGAGGAGAGAGGAGAAGGGAGGAGGAGGAUGAUGUCGGGGAAGCGGGAGAGCUGUGGCGAAAGUGGGAAGGGGAAGGAGGGAUCGGGGAAAGGUGGCUGCGAUGAAGGGGGGGAGAGGGAGGAGGAGGGAGGAGAAGGGAUUGUGCGACGGCGAAGGAGGAAGAGGAGGAGGAGGAGGAGUAAGAGAGAGAUACCGGGUGCUGUCACCGUUCGCCGACGGAGAGGAAGCCGCAGCAUCCACCGUUCGCCGACGGAGAGGAAGCCGCAGCAUCCACCGUUCGCCGAGGAAAACGCCGCAGCGAUAAGAGCUCGACGGAGGAAAAUGCCGCCGCCGCUGCCGGCUCUCGCCAAGGUACACGCCGCAGUCGCGGUCGCUGUGGAGAAGGAGACAGCUUCACCACUGCAUUUAGGGCUCGGGUGCGAAUUUGAGGAUGCCGUUCUCAUCUGGUUCGAUCGAACCAGAAAUAAGUUACAUUAUAAUUUUAUUCGGCUCCUUUGGAUCACUCGAUGUUUUGAUGAUUGUUGAAACAUCAACUUAUUUGGUUACGUGGUCGAUUGAUCCUUUACCAACAAGUGUAAUAAUGUUACUGCACAACUAAGAUAAGAUCAAUUAACAAUAGGCAAGAAAUAAGAGUUCUUUUGACUCCCCUAAAAAUAAUAAAUAAGUCUAUACAUAUCUUAGUUGGCAUCUGAUGAUAGAAAAGCCUCGGAUAGUAAGCCAAAAUAAUCAUGUAGCAUCAAAUUUUUAUGCUAAAAAAAUAUCUAAUCAAUCUUUGAAUCCAAAAGUCUCCUUUACAAUACAUAUCGAAUGACUUUCUCAAUAAAUCUAGCAUCAUAGGUUAUGUUACAAUAAUUUGCAAUCUCAUUCUAAGGUUUGAUUUUAUGAUUUAUUUACUCAAUGAUUUGGCAAGAUCCUAUUACUAUAUGAAAAGCUUUCAAUUUGUUGUUUAGAAACAUUGUAAGAGAUACUAGAGAAAAAUGAUUUAAGCCUGCAUAUCUAUUAAGUCCUCACUACAAAACUCCAGUGACAAACUUAACAGCCACGAACUAAAGAGAAGCAUAACUUCAAGAACCUAUUAGGCACAACCAACAGCAGAGCAUAAAUUAUGUGGAAAAAUAAAUUAGAAGGAGAAACGCAGCCAACCAGAAAUAAAAUUUACUUACAAAUCAUCUAAUACAAAGUUCUUCCAUCGUGUCUCGAUCAUCAGGAUUUGAAAGAACAGUUAAAAGUUGGAAGCUAUAUUUUUUUCGUGUGUUUAGUAGCAUCUGCAAUGCAAUGGUCUUAAAUGUACCAUGAAUCAUGCAAUGGUAGUGAAUCUGACUCGAGAUUAGAAGGUUGCAUGUUCGAUUCAUGUCGGGUUCAAAUCCCGUAAUCUUCUAUUUUGUUUUUGUUUUCCGGUUUAAAAUAUUUUCUCAUCAUAAUUUCUAACUUUCCGUUUUACAUGUGACAGAAGAAUGAAUUUGUUUUCUCAACUUUCAGUGAGUGUUUUCUCAACUUCCAGUGAGACAGAGUAAUCAAUGCAUCUAUAACACAAUAAUCUCCUGUUGACACUGCUACCUUCCAAAGUCUCAUCAACAUCCUAUAGCAACAUCCUAACCAGAUUAUACAACUGUCUUUGAGUUCCGUAUAGAAAUAGUAGUGCUCAACCUUUUAACUUCAACAUUACAUCGGUUUCUUAGUUGAUCAUCCGCAAUCCAAGUUCUGUAAAUAAUAUAUGAACACUACACCAUGAAUUCAGCUCUUAGUCUUUGAAUUAUAAAUAAAUCUCUAACAUUCUUUUAUCUAUUUGAUUCCAAUACGAUAAACAGACUAGCAUUGUUGGCUAUGGAGCUUCAACAGAUAUCUAUAGAUCAUCUCCACCAGCAGCUAACCUUUAGAAUUUGAGCGGUUAAGCUAUUCAUAAAAUUGCUCCAGAUGGAUGCUGGUAGCCAUCUUGUCAAUGCUCAUUCCCUUGGCUAGCUGACUUGGUCGUCGGUAUUUGAACAUCAAGUUGUCAUGAUGCCUCCUCCAAAGAUUUCUAAGCUGAUUCAUGAGGGAGGACGAGUUGCCCAUAGGGAACUAAGCGUGCGAAGGCAUUGGAAGUAGUCACCCAAGGCAAGCAACCCUCGUGCUGAUUGGCGAGUUGUGAGGAUGUUGUACAUUUGCUGCAAAGCCUGUUGUCGAAGGUGAUCCGCCUGUUUCAAAAAUUAAGUCAAGGAUGAUUUCACAAUUAGACGAAUAUGCAAUAGCAAAUUCGAAGCAAGAUAGAGUAAAUUGUCAUAUACUAAUUUUUGUUGGUGUAAAUGAACAUUUGAUAAAAGUAUUAUUAUGAAAGGAAUAAUGAGAGACCUACUGUUGACAUUAGAAUUAAUACUAUAUUUAUUAUUUGCAUUAUGCAUAACUGCUGAUGAUAUGCAUCACAUGUCCUAUCAAGAGAGUGAAAUGUAAAAGAAGUCUGUGACUUUAUAUAUACCAAGUAAUGCAAACUCAAGUAGAAAAUGAUAGUUAACUUACGGAUGCAUCCCAACACGAGUAGUCUUUCAUAACCAAUUUUAAGUAUCUUAAUUAGAUGAUAACUUUAUCAACCAUAUAGAAAGAUAUAGGAUCAAGACGAUAUUUAUCGAGGCCUAACGAAGAAGGAAAAAAGACAGAAAUAGUUGAUGAUGAUGCAACUUAAGAGGUCCUUCCCAUGAUCAAACACAUAAGUGCAGAGUGCUCGAGAAACAGUUUAAUAAGACAAUUAUUCAAAGUACUAUAGGUUGUUGCUUAUGGUUUCCAAAGACCUUCCUAAUUGGAAGUUUCAUGCUAAAAGGGCCUCGAAGAAAGAGACCUUCUUUGAUGAACUCGAGAUCCUCUCAGGGUGAAAUCUUGUGUUAGCCAUUUAUUUCCUUUUAUUUUAGUUUUGAAAUAAAUAAUCAUGUCAUGAAACAAAUAAAUCGUAUCUAUCCAUCAUGAUAAACAGAAGAGAAGUAGCUAUCAGUGACUUAUGGAAGAGACCUGUCAGUGAAUUAUUUACUAAAAAGAAAUAUGUUGUCGUAGAGUUUUUAUGAUUCUGAAUAACUUAAAUACAUAAACCUUGAUAUUUUCUAAUUUUUCAACCAUUGGAAGAGUAAUAUCUGAUGUAUAGCAUUAUCAUCCAUUCAACUAGGUCUAUUAUUGUAUAACAGGGAACUUGUUGAAAAAUAAAUGAGGAUAUAAACAACAAACUUUCUAGAACUUGUUUGGUUUAAAAACUAGUGCAGAAAAAUGUGAGCUCCAUUUGUUUUCAUUUUGUUGGUCAAAAUCUUCCGAAUAGAUAUCUUUUAUGUUCUUUCAGAAUUCCUGAAAAGAAUUUUACAAACUUCAGCAUCAUUACUAACUUAUAAUCACUAGUUGCCCUACAAUCAUCCAACAAUUGAGUCCUUCCUCUUAGAAUCUUUCAUUAAGUUGAAAUUUUGACAACUAAACAUAUAAAAAAAUAAUGAUACUAUUUCUUAUUUUGAAGACAACAAAAUGGUAAUACAACAUUACCAGAAAAAAAAAACUUCAUAACAUAAACCAAGUUGUACCAAGCAAAAAUUUCAUAUACUAUUCUCUUGAGAAACUAAAAAUUAGUAGUCAAUAUUUAUAUGUUUUUCAAAAUAAGGAAUAGAUAUCUUUUAUGUCCUUCCGGAACUUCUGAAAAGAAUUCUACACUCCCCACAACCAUCCAACAACCUUCUCUAUAUUCAUUCUUCUGAGUCCUUCCUCUUAGAAUCUUUCAUUAAGUUCAAAUUUUUGACAACUAAACAUAUUAUUAGAAAAAUAUAAUGAUACCGUUCCUUAUUUGAAGACACCAAAAUGGUAAUACAACAUUAUAGGAAAAAAAGAAGCUUCAUAACACAAACCAAGUUGUGCCAAGCAAAAAUUACAUAUACUAUCCUCUUGAGAAACCAAGAAUUAGUAGUCAAUGUUUAUCUUUUAUGUCCUUUUAGAACUUUUGAAAAGAAUUUUAUACUCUUUAGCAUCAUUAUCAACUUAUAAUCACUAGGUACGGGUGGUACGUAUUGAUCCACCAGCAUAUUAGUAUGCGGACCGCCCACUACCUAGCGGUAUCGUUGAUUGGGGCUGUUUCCGUCUCUUUAUAUCCUAAAACAGGUUGGUAUCAGUUGAUUUUGACUGUCACCGCCUGCUAUUAGGCGGUAUUAGCCUGGCUAUAGCGAGAGAGAAGAAAAAAGAAAGAGAAAAAGGGAGAAGAAGAGAGAGAACCUUACGUCCCGAUUUGGUGUUGCCCUCCCUCGAUGAUUCCGAUUCGUCGCCACCCUCCCUCACCGAACGUCGUAGAUGAGGACGUCCUCUUCUCCUCAUCACCUCAAAUGAGAAGACGUUGUGGCCUUCUCCUCGUCUAAGGCGACGAGGAGAAGAGGGGGGUGACAUCACCUCUUUUUAAUUUUUUUAUAUUAUAUGUAUAUAUAUAUAUAUAUGUGUAUACACACACACACACACACACAUAUAUAUAUAUAUAUAUAUAUAUAUAUAUAUAUAUAUAUAUAUAUAUAUAUAUAUAUAUAUUAUUCAAUAUGCCCUGUAUCACUCAGUACAUCUAUAUCGUACCAUAUCAAACAAAGCUCGAUACGUUAAUACGAUAUGAAAUUACGAACCCUACUUCUCUAUCGACUCUUUUAAGUUCUUCCUCUUGAAAUCUUUCAUUAAGUUCAAAUUUUGGCAACUAAACAUAUUACUAAAAAUAAUAAUAAUAAUAAUACUGUUCCAUAUUUUUAAGACACUAAAAUGGUAAUACAACAUUACAUAAAAAAAAAGAAGCUUCAUAACACAAAACCAAGUUGUACCAAGCAAAAAUUACAGAUAUUAUCCUGUUGAGAAACUAAGAAUUAGUAUUUAAUGUUUAUAUGUUAAACUUUCUAACGAGUCCUAGUUCUUGCAAGUCCAGGUUCCAAAUAGCUGUACCACUACCAACAUCUUAUCCCACUGGUAUAACAUGGAACAUCUAGGUACACCAAUAAUGGAUAUCAAAAUUAAUAUGUAAAUAUGGACUGGUACAAUUACUAUGCUGGUAUAUUGUAUACCAUUAAACCAAUUUUGUACAACACCAAAAUUGUGGUGUUUCAACAAUGUUACCAAUUAGAAAUUGACUCUUUGAAAAUGUACAAUUACUAUAACCAGUGCCUAAUGGUUUCCCAUUUUCCAGUGAAUCACUAAGCAUAUUGCUUUGAGAUCUUAAAGAAGCAAGAGACAUACCUAACAUAUGGAUUUUAGUGAAUGAGUUCACAAUUAAAAAGCAUCCAGAUAGAGAAGGCUAAAGCAGAAACUAAGUGUAGAUAUAUGCCAUAGAUGCAUUCAUACUAUUACCUACCUGGUAAUCGUUCUCUUAAUAUAAUUAAACUGUUAUUAUCAAAAAAUUCUUAAGCACUAUACUGACACAAAUCAUAAGGAAAACAAAAUAAUAAGGAAAACACUAGAACAGUACCAGAAACAGAGGCAACAGCAGAAAAGGAAAAAAAAUAUACAGGAUAAACUGAUUGUGUCGACAGAACUUGUAUGUCACCUGGUUGACAAAGCUUACAAGAGCUUCCAACUUUGUCAUGGCAAUUGCCAUUUGUCCCAUGUAGUUUUUCGCACCAAAUGUGCCAAAGGGGUCACAUGCUAGAGUUUCAGACAGAGUUUGCUGAAGUUUAUCCAAUCCUUGGGAAAGUGCAUCUUCAGCCUGUUGUGAACAUUGUUGCAGGCCAGUGACAGCCCUCAUUUGUUGCUCUGUCAAAGGGUUUAGCUGUGAGGAGAGCACCUGUGAACCAACAAUGAGAAAUAUAAGUAAUAUUAGAAGUACCUUUUAUUCAUAUCUUACUCCAAGAAUCUGUAAGAAUAGUGAGAUGGCUUUCCAUAAAGUCAAGGAAAAGAAAAGAAAAAAAGAAACUACCACUAAGUAACAUAUGACAUUGGCAAGAAACCCCAUGCUGGCUGCGUGACAUGCUGACAUGGAAUAUGCAAACCCUCUCUACAUUGUCGUAGGCUUUCUAAAGUCCAAUGCUGUGGUAGCAUACCCUUGCAUGCCAGCAUGACAAGUGCAGGUAGCACAUUGAGCAGUGCUUGCAUGUGCAGUCUUUAUAAGAUACUAAAAUUUAUGAACAAGAUUUAAUUCACCUUUAGAUUGUCAUAGGCUUUCUAUAGUCCAAUUCUGUGUUAGCAUGCCCUUGGAAGCCAGCAUGACAUGCAGGUGGCAAAUUGAGCCGCACUUGCAUGUGCAAACUGAAAAAGAUAUUAAAAUUCAUAAAACAAGAUUUAAUCACCUUUAAAAGCUUUGAGGGCCUAAAUCCACCGAUCCAAAGAAAAAACCUUUCUGUGGGUGUUCGCCACAUGCCAGACAUGAGAUAGAAGACAUCAGACUUUGCUGUGAUUGCUUUUAUUCGGAAAAGAUUGUCAUAGUGUCUUAUUCCACUCUUUACAAGCAUGUGAAGCUCAAAGUCAGAUGCAUGUGCUUGUAGUGCAGCUCUUAGUUGACAAGUUUGCUGAUUCUGUUUUUCAACCCAGUGUCCAUAUUGCAUUUCAAAAGCAGCAAUCCCUGAAAGAUGCCACCAACAAAGGCCUUUAGGUGCAUAAGGAGCUGACAUCUUGACCUUACAUCAAAUAAUAAUCCAUGGAAAAAAUUAAAAGAGGCAUGUAAAACCAGCUAGACCCAUUUUCCAAUUCCAAACACUUUUCCUGUGUAGGUAAAAAUUAUUGUCAUUUUUCACUCAGUUAAUAUCAGGGCAAAACAUCUGAUAUGAGAUACUACAACUGAACUUGAAAUUUCCUGCACAUAUUUGUACAUUACAGUCGACAUUUUCAGAAUGGAUUUAGAGACACAAGUCCAUGAAGGGCUAGCAGAUAGCUAAAUGUUUGGAAAGAGGGGUUGAGACAUUUACAGAGUAAAAGUGAAGCCACAAUGAUGUUACCGAACAAAAUAUAUGAUAUAGAAACUAAGAAAGAAAUGCUUCACUCAAUUCAACCUGCACGGAUGGUAGAAUGCAACACUAUUUGUAUGCAUUACGGCUUAUAGUACAAUUGCAUAAUGAGAGUUGUUCCAUCAAGCGCCAAAAGGUUUAGUGCAAUUUUAGCAGUAAAGGUCUGGCUUUAUCAAAAUAGUGCAGAAAGGAUUCUAAAACGAUUGCAAGAUAAAACAUAGCUUGUUCUUCUUUCCCAUGAUAUUUCAACAUCAACGCUGUUAACAUAUAUGCUUCAGAAAUUACAUAGAAUGAAAUGAACACUUGUACCUGAAUUAACACUUCCUGACAACCCAAGAGUUCUCUCUCCCAAACGCCCACCAAUGUAAAUACCCUACAGUUCAGCACCAGAUUUUCGGUUAGCUUAUAUAUGCACAACAACAAACUUCCUUGUUCAUCAUAAAAGGUACCAUUUAUACCUUCUGUCUAACCUGCUCAAGCUCCUGCUCUAGUUGGCACAAUUUUAAACGACUUGAUUCCAACUGUUGAACAUAAGCCUACAAAAACAAGUAGUAGACAACCAGCAUAUCAAGCAAAUUAUAUGUUAAUGGUAAUUUACCAUGGUAAGAUACUUUUUUUCUUAAACGACUUUUCCGAGCAGCCUCUCGAUUCUGUGCAAGCCGUCUUAGCACCUGCACAUAAACCCUCUAUUACACCAUCAAAUUGGCAACCCUGAAUGUAUGAACCAACAAGUGUCAACAGUUUAUAGCAUUUGAGGUACAUAUUAAAAAUAUAAUUCAUUCUCUGAUAGUCUUAAUUAAUUAUGACUUGGAACUUAGCUCAUGGAUGUUAUUGCAGUCUUGCAGUUACAGAUCAGAUAAUGAUGAACUUCUCAAACAUAAGCAUCAGUUUUGUAACAUGGGUUGAUUGAAGAACAAGUUAUGGUAUAUUCCGUACCAAGCAAUUUUCAAACAUAACUAAACCAUCAAUUUAAGUGAAUUAAAUUUAAUAUAAUAGAAAUUUUGUAAAUUCAUAUCCCUCAGCAUCCAACCCCUGUUGUGAUCUCAUAACUAGCAUCAAAGAAUCUUAACAUAUCACAAAUGGAUGAAACUCCAGAUAGAUAAAACAUUAAGAUAAUUUGUUAAAGGUCAAAAAUCUUGGUUAUUUAAACCAAACCUUUAGAUAAACUAAUUGUGAUUAGAAAACAAUAUAAGUUACCCAUUCUGGUGUUCCAGUACAGUGACUAUAUAUGUGAACAGGCAUGCUUUUGUUCUCACCAUUUAAUAAGGAACUGACAACAUAAGUUACCUCGAAAGUCAUAUAUGUUCUUUCUUUGUUGUCAUUAAGCUAUCUUCAUUCACUUCCAUACUCACAGAAUUGCCACCCAAGUUCACUUGACACUAAGCUGGGAUUAAACCCAAACAGACAUAUUCUCUGAUUAUUACCAUCAUCAGAAAUCUCUUCUUGCUUCCUAAACGUUUGCAUGAUUUCUCUCAAUUGCUUAUCAUAGAUCCUUAAACCUUUCACAUAUAUUACUAAAUAUUUUUAUUAGCAAGAAGUAGGAAGAACAUAAACAGUUUCCGGAAACAAAAACAUUUAUAUAUCACAACAGUUCAUAGAAAUUACUAAAGGAUCAUUAUGAAAUAUGAUAGGGAGUAAGUGCUGAUCUUAUUAGUCAAGAUCACAUUUUGAUUCAAUCAAUUAGAUUUAUUGUGAACAUAAUAUCUUUUUGCUGCAGACACCAUAUCAAUGAACAGAAAACCUUUCUUUCUGAAAGAAGGUUCAAUCUGGUAAAUGAUGAAUGGGGGAUUUCUAGAGUGUGGAACCAACAAAACAUGCAUAUUCACUACUAAAGGACAAAGCAAAGAGAAAACCAUCAAUAUGUUCUAUCAAAGUCGGCUAAAAGAUUUAUUCCUGCAUAUGAGAAUAUAGUGAUGAAGGUCAUAGCUGAAAUAGGAUUCAUCUUGGCCAGGAUAUCCAAGUUCAACAUUAUAUUUGAUGCCCUUCUGACUUUUCCUUCUUGAAGUACAAGCCAAUUGAACUUGGCUUUACCCUACCAGAAGCUGGUGGUUAAAUUGAACAAAAUAAUUUGAUCAAAAGAAUCUAUUUUUACACGUAUGAGUCAAUGAAGUGAGGGUUCCAUCUCCAAAUGAAUGAGCUAGCCAGGGUUGUAGAUCUCUCUUAUUCAAAUAGAAAAAUCAAAGCAGCAUGAACAAAAAGUUCCUAUGCCACAGAGAUGCGGGUAAAAAUAAGAAUUUUACAUACCUUAUCUGAAGACUUGUUUGUUUCCUGGUCAUGGUCCUUUGGUUGCGUUAGUUCCUUGUGAGGAAUAUCCUCUAGCUACAAAAUAUAUCCAGUCAGAUGUAGUACUCAGUUAGAAACAGAGUUACUAAAAAACAUAGAUAUGCUAUAUAUCUCUACCAUAUAAACAAGUCUCAUGUCUGUUUCCGCUGCUGGUGAUGUACAUAUAUUCUGACAGCUAUCAGUUUUAAUGGAGUCCUCCCACCACAUGCCAAUAUGGUGGUCUGGUUCAUAUAUGCCCAUCCUUCUCGAGGUUGUAAAUGGAAAGGUAGAGCUUCUACUGUUUAGACCGAAAGGAGAAGAUUACUUAUAUGGAAAGGCAAUGGACAAGUUAAAUAUUUUACUGAUUCAAGCAUAUUUUCCUUCAGACAAAAUGUUCAAGGUGCAAUUGCAUCAAGGAUUUAAUAGAUCUCAUAAUGGCAUGUAGUAAGGAGUCGCAAUGGACCUUGGUAACUCAGAAAGUCAAAAACACCUCAAUAUGUCAGGAUAAAAUUUUUGUCAUGAGCUUCCAAAAUAAGACUGAAGCUAUGGUUAUGUAGCGAAUAUAUCAAAGAUUUUGUUGGGUCUGGCUUAACAACUAGCUAAGUAAAACCCAAUGACCAAAUCAAUAGCUUAGGCAUCCACAUUGUUUGUGCCAUUUUCAAUGUUAUAGUCAAACUUUACCUAAUUAACAAAACUCAGUUUUGUUAUGUCAAUUAAUAAUUGCCAACAGAUAGAAAAGUCACAUUUCUACGAGCACAUAAAUAAAAUUUUGUAGGGUUAUUUACAACAAGUUGUAAAACUGCUCAUUGAGAGCUCCUGAACACAACAGAACCAUCCCUAAGUCACUUGAUUACUUUAUAUAAUGCAGCCACAUGGUUUCUUUCUACUAUCUCAGAAGACCUGUUCUGACUAUAUCAGACUUACACACAGGACCUCAUCUCUCAAAUUUGAUUUGGGUUUUACAAAUUAUUUAAUUUCAUAGAGACAAUUCCAUCAGGGAAAACCAUAAUAAUUUUCUCCCUUCCAGGUUGUACAUAACUGUAAAUGAGUCAUGACUUUCCUUCACAAGUCCUAACAAAGAUGCUGGAACAAUUUGUGUUGCGAAAAAUAUCAGAGCUGAAGGGCGUUUUAUGUACAUACUACCCAGUACCCACCAUAUUAAUAUGGAAGUACUCAAACCAUAACAACCACAAGAAGCAAGAAAACGGCCACCUAUGACAUCAAAACAUGUUCCAAUUAUGUGACAUAAAAGCAAUCAAAAGGUUUAUUCUAUUUAUAUUUACCAUCUCAUAUCAGAGAAUGAGAUACAUAUUAGUAUACUUCAAUUUUUAUUCAAAAAGUCCUCCUGAUCUAAAUUUUCUUAUUUCGUAAAUGGCAAUUUUCCAGUAAAUUUUGUUAGACAAUCUACCAAGAGUUCCUUAUUAAAAAAUUACUCCAAGAAAUCGCAGAAAAAAAUCCUCAGUCAUAAAAGAGGAACAAUCUGACCUCGAGAUCACUCCAAGAGCUGCCUCAGAGCCCCGCGAAACCGGGAUUCCACCACGGAUAGCAAAACCUUAAGCCCAAUCCCGAUCUGGGAAACCCCGGCGGCCGCCAUUCCCUCUCUCUCGCUGCGCCUUAAUCCGAGAGAGGGAGAAGGAGCGAGGAGAAACGGAGGAAGCAGAGGAAGCGAACCAAGAGACGCAAGAGCAGAUUCCCAAAGCCCACUUCCGCUCCUUUGUCGUCCACCGUCGUUUUAAUGGCGUGUCGCGGGAAAGGGAAGAAAGCUUCGCCGCGGAUAGACGUUCCGUUAUCCUGCUCCCUCCGCACUGCCCAGCACAUGCGCGCCCGUCUGACGUCAGCAACCGCUGUUUUGAACGCGCUGGUGGACUUACCCUGCGUCGGCACAGUAUAAGGUUGAGACAGCAAAUGAGCCAUCACAACAGCUGAGAGCCUUUAGUUGUGCCAAUUUAAUUGGCGGGAUUCUGAUGAAUUUUAGUGGAUGGUUUCUAUCACAGAGUAAAAUAGUGUGAUGAUUCCAAGUUCAUGGCAAUAACUUGGAACCUUUACAGCAAUCUUGCCACUUCCACAACAAUGUGUUGCAUAUUGAUUGGAGAUAAAAAGCACCACCCCAUCCCACCAUUUCUUUUCCAUCUGCCAAUGGAAUGUUGAGCUUUGUAGCAUUAUACUCAGAGAAGCUUUAGACAAGCCAUGGCUAGCGUCAUGGUAAGAUUACUCUAAUAAUCUUAAAUCGAGUUAAAAAUGAAAAAGUCUAAAUAUAUUAAUCCUUCCUAAAUGCUACAUGAACAAGUGCACUCGAUAUGUGGAGGAUUAGUAUAGUUAGUCUCCAUCCCAACUUUGGUAUUUUGGUUUCCACGAUGAUGAUCUUCUUCGUGCAAGCUUCGUUUCUCAGAAACAAACGUGUGGUGCUUAUUGCUAGUGUAGAGGGAAUGCAGUAAGUAUACUUUCGAGUUCAAUUUGCUUCUUCCUAUUCAUUGUAGAAACACAAUGGGCGUGCAUUAAACGGAGUUAUAAUUCAAGCAAUCAAAAAAAGAGAAGGGAAUUGAUAGCUUUAUCAUGCUGUUGAUAAGGCUUGGAUCAUUUCAAGUCCACUCUUAAUAGAAGUAUUUCCGUCGAUAAAACAAAGUUGAUCUUUGAAGAGUGUGUGGCAUACAUGAGUGUAAAGAUGAGAAGUUUUUGUAUAAAUCUUUUCCUUAGAAACAAAACUUAGUAAUAGAUCUGCUUUUGGUCUGCUAAUCUCUUUUUACAAGGAGCAGACUACCACUACUACUGGUGGAUAUAAGAUGUAGAUCUCAUACCAAUUUCUUCUGAUGGUACAUGCACACUUGCACAGAGUCCAACUUCACUAGAGUAAACGAAGUAAAACUCUUUAUGUUUCUAUCAGUAACUACAAGAUUCGGAUCAUGUAUUUCUUUGCUCAACCUUCCUUUUCUCCUUUCUUCCUCUUUGUUGGGAAAUGGACUUUUGACACUUGUGAUUCUUGUUGGUACUUGGUUUCCAAUAACAACUGUUUCCCCCCCUCUAACCAUAGCUUUAGAGCUUAUGAAAGAAAGCUUUUUGUUCUUCUUUCUCCUUUUUUUUCCUUUUCUGCUUGACAAGAUAUUGAUAUGUACACAAUUUAGACUACACGUACUACCUUUCUCUUUGGUUUGCAAAUAUAUGGCACCAUCGACUCGGAUUAUCACAAAAGGCAUGAGAUUUCAUAUGGAUAUUAGACAUGAUCGAAAAUAUAAUUGUAGAACUCCAUAUGUAAGAAAAGUAACAACAAGAAUCAAGAUAGAACGACGAGAACAUGGAAUUAUUACAAUAAAGAAAAAGAGUUAACCGCUUUGAUCUGCUCAGAAAUGGCGAGUCUGAUCGAGAGAGAGAGAGAGAGAGAAGGCAGUAUCAAUUGAAUUUGGAAGUUGGGAAGAGAGGUAGGUGUUAAAUGGAAGAUGGAAGUGAUAAGCUCUUCUAUGUGCACUUCCUAUUAAGAUAUAUACAUAGUGGCUAACCUUUUAAGGUAGUUGACAGCCAUUGACCCUUAGGCAUUAAGCAAUAACAGUAGCUUAAAGGAGCAUGAUGCAUCAAGGACACUCUUAAUGAGCCUAAAAGUAGAAGCAAGUUGGAAGCUUGGGGUUCAAAGCCAUACUUAGGAUUGAGCAUUGCAUGUCUACAAGUUCAGAUCUGGUUUAUGGCUAACAAAAUCCAACCAUUAAGGUGUGGAACUUUUGAUGAGUUGUAUAAGUUCACUUUUGUAAGGUAUGUAUCAGUGACAUCUUGACUAGUCUCAAUGGGGUUUACCAUAAAAAAACUCGAACAUAAAUUAUUUAUAGGGAUAUUAAUCUCAUGAAUUCAUAUAUUUCAAGAACAAAGUUACGUAGAUUUCAUUCAUCGUGAAUAAAUUCUAUAUAGCUAUAUAAAUAUGUAAUAAUGGAUUUUUUCUUUAUCUCAACUCUUCUAGUCCUUUAAAUUAACAUCCGAUAAAAUUGAAAAGAAAUUAAUAUUCUCAAAAACUAACAAAGAUAACAAAAAGAUUAAUGUUUGUGGUGGAUAGAUUGUUGACUUGUUACCGAUAGGGAAAUAGUAAGAUAAAGUUUAGGCCUAAAAUGUUUGUGCAAGAUGAGAAUUGUUACCUAUGCUUGGAAAUAAAUGGAACCCCGGACUUCAGUGGAUAUCAAGAUCUAUCGGAUUCCAUGAUGCAAACAAUUAAUGAUGAGUUCAUGAGCCGCUUCAGAAACUUUCCAUGUAGGUGACACCCCUAUGAACUGAAGCUAGAAGGAUGCCGUAUACCUUACCACUUCUUUCUUCAUUGAGACUAUAAAUGCCUUUUGUCCCAUCACCUUUGGCUUUUUCGGGUGGUGUCACUGCCACCUUCUAUCCAAACUCUUCAUCAAUUGCGUACGACGUAAGUGUGGUUUGCUGUUCUUCUGUGUCAAAAGAUCAAAAGCUUUAAAAAGCUACACAGGCUCGACUAAAGAAAGAUAAGCUCAAAGCACCGUUCUCUUAGCCAAUUAUGCAGUGUAAGCAAAUGUUAGUGCGCCCUAUGUGGGGUACUGAUUCAAUCUAAACAGCAAUGUCUGCACUGCUGUCCCUUUGCUGUGUCAAGCUUAACUACAUAACAAUGCACUUUGAUUGACUAAAUGAGUUCCUUUUUCUAUUUUCUUGACCAAGGAUACAUUUGCCAUGCUUUUCUAGCACAGAUCUAUGGGUCUUAUAUCAAAUUAGUCUGUCAAAAGAGCAAAGUCGCUUGGAAAAGGAGGUCAGCCAGGUAAAGAGGCAUCUGAGGAUAAUAUUAGAAAUGCCAAAUGACUAAGAUUCUUUGCAUGGGUGGUGCUUUCUGCUUUUUGAGAUGUUUUGGUGUAGAUCUGCAGAACGGAGAGGAACACAGAAAAAGAUCCCAGUUGUCUAAAACCAUAUCUGAACAUGUUAAAUUGAGACGCAAGAAAAUAUAUGCAACCACAAGCCCUAAUUAUACCAACUAUCAUCAGCUUAUUCCAUGUGUGAAGGAUUAAAUCUUUUCAGCAUUUCUUUCUCAUCUAACUCAUGGACUAAACUGUCUUAAAAAA
rnacentral:lncRNA from 1 species